UUUUUUUUUUUUUUUUUUUUUUGUGUUCGGGGGAGGAAAUGACGAAAUUUUCUGGAAAAAAAAAAGAAGUUAACAAAUUGUUUUGGAAAUUUUCUGGAUUUUUUUAUAGAAGUUAACAAAUUGGAUGAAUGACAAAUUGUCCUUCGUAAUCUUAGCACAUAAAAAUUGUCCCGCAGCCAAUUUGUCAAACAUGAGACAUGUUUUGGAUUUUUGAAGGACAAAAUUUUAAUAUUUGUACCAUAUAAGGGACUAAAACUUAAUAAUGGUAAAUAUGAAAGAUGAUCAAGGAUCUAGGGCUUCUGCAGCGAAGCACAAUGUAGAAUCUAAAAUGUUGACAUUAAACUGAUUCAUGUACCCAGAAACUAAAAUAAAAAUGAAAUGUAAAAACACAACUACUUUUGUAACUUAUUGAAAUUUGAGCCAACAUCUACAAUUCAAUCAUCAAAUUGUAAAUUAUUCAACUGAACCAUUAAAUUGCAGUGUACAGUUGCCAUUACAAAUAUAGAAGAUAUGGAUCCCACGGUCAACUACAUUUUUUACAAAACUAGCAGAACUUUAGCAGGGGUUCAUGGUCGUGGUCAUUGAGUCAAACAAAAUGCCAAAAUAUUUUAGAAUCUACACUAGGGAUGGCAAUGGGGGCGGGUGCCCGCCCCGCGGGGGGCUCACGGGGCGGGGGGUGGGGCGGGGGCGGGGGGGAAUUUUUUCCCCCCGCUUAGAAACGGGGCGGGGGGGGGCGGGGGUAUACCCCCGCCCCAUCCCCCGCCCCGCCACCCGCAAAAAAAAAAUAUAUAUAUAUAUAAUAUAUAUAUUAUAUGUAAGUUAAUUAGUUAUAAACUUAUGAUAAUGAUAUUAUUAGUUAGAUGUAUUAUAUAAUGUAUAUUAGUUUAUGUAAUAUAAUUGAUAUUAUCAAUUAUAUGAAUAAUUAUACAUGUCUACUAAUAGAAUUUAUUAAUUAGUUAUACUAAAUUUACUAAUACAUUUAUACUAAAUUUCUAAUUACACUUAAUAGAAUAACACUUUUUUCUCAAAAAAAAGCACAAACACAAUGAUGAAUUAGUGAUUGCAUUUGUACUAAAAGUGAAAAUUUGACUAUUUUAGUUAUAUUUAUUUAUCAUAUUGGAUUGUAUUCAAAUAACUUCUGUUUGAUUGUUUUUAUGAGUUUCAAUUGUAAAAUUACAAUGAAUAAUAAUUUGGUGAUGUGUUGAUAUUUUAGUACUUGAUUAUUUAUUAAAAUUUAAUUAUAAUAAAAUUAUAUAAUAAAAUUUUAUUAACCCCCGCGGGGGAAGCGGGGCAAGGCGGGGCGGGGCGGGGCGGGGGGAGCGGGAGGCGGGGGACGGGGCGGGGGACGGGGGAAACUAAUAGGCAACGGGGCGGGGGACGGGGGAGGGGUCCCCCGCCCCAACCCCGCCCCGUUGCCAUCCCUAACACUACUAAAAAUGAAAAAAGAAGUAAUGUUAUCUCCCAACUUCUUCCCAAUAGAAAUUUUUUUUAAUCAAUCGGCAAUAACUUCUUCAAAUUCACACGAGUGCGUAAUGCAUCCAUUUGGUCCGAUAGUGAUUGAAUCACAUCAUUUUUCUAAUCGACCCCGUUAGAAUUAUGCUCAUGCUCUCUAUAAGUAGGCCUGUCAAUCGAGCCAAUGAGCCGAGAUUUCACAAGUUUGAAUUCAGCUCAUUUAAUUUAUAAUAUUUUUUGGGAUUUGGAUUAUGAGUUUCUGAUUAAUAAAUGUGAACCUCAUACUCAACUCACAUAAUAUUCGAAUUGUGGGUCUUAUUCACGCUUAGUCCAAGCUCAUUUAUUACUCCUUGAUUUUCUUAAUAUAAUUACUAUAACUAUUAAGUUGUAAAACUAAUUUAACAUUUACAAGACUACAAUAUUAAAACUAAACAUGAACAAAUAAUAGUUCUUAAAAAGUAUAUAAACCAAAAAAUUUUCAACAAUAUUUAUAUUUAAUUCGUCCAAAAUACAUGAAAAAUAGUAAUAAAACAUACGGUCAUGUGCCAAUACAACUUUAAAAGUUGAAACUUUUUUAUAACCUUGUGAUUUGAAUCCAAACAUGCUUGAUGAUUUGUGUUUUUAGACCAAAAAAAAAAAAAAUCAACCAAUAUUAUGCCAACACAAAAAUUUACUCAAUUAAUAAGAAAGUUAGAGAUUCAAUUAUGCAUUACUGAUAUUGGCUCUCAAGAAAGCUCAUAGAAGAGUCUUCAGAUGUAUUUUUAUGUUUUGUAAUUUAUAUAUAUUUAGUAUUUAGUAAUACUAUAUUUGGAUAUAUAAUUAUAUAUAAUAUCAAAAUAUAAAUAUUAUAUAUAUAGGUAAUUAAAGAGCCGAGCCUACAUCAAGUUUGAGUCUAAUGAACCCCAAGCUCGAUUCAUAUUAAAUUCAAGUUUAAUUUUUAGGUUCAAAUUCAAACCGACUCACUAAAAGGUCGGAUUCAUCGGACUUUUUGUCGGGCCAAACGAGCCGAAAUUGGGCUAGUCUAGUCCCAUUGACAGUCCUAUUUGUAAGACAGUACUAGCUUGGAAAUGUGAUCUUCUCCCUCCGAAAGACACGUACUAGCUUGGAAAUUUUCCCUCCGAAGAUUAGACCGCGGAAAAAGGAAAAAACCAGCAAGAAAAUUUUCCCUAGAAGAAUCAGCAAUUAAGGCCAACUUAAUGAAUGAGUUUAUGGACUUUGGAUUUGUAUUUAGAACAUUUCGCCCGAAUGGUGCAACAAUAGCACCAACAGAAAUUGCACAACGCCUCGAUUCCAUGUCUCUAACUGAAGCAGAUAGGCGCGCAAAAAACGCUUUCUCCCUGACUAUAACUUAUGACCAAUCUCGAGUGUCCAGCCUUGUGGCCAGAAGGCCCAAAACCGAAUAAAUUAUAAGGUACUUGAAAUUCGAUAGUGGAGAUAAAUUUCUUUUCAUUCAGCCUACAAGAUACACAAAAGUCACAUGAGAAAACAAAAGGUACUUGAAACUCUAACAAGAUACACAAAAGUUACAUGAGAAAACAUUUUGCAAUAUUAGAUAAAUUGUAGAUUUAUUGUAUAAGGUACUUGAAAUUCCAUAGUGCGAAGAAGAAAGAAAUCCAGCGAACAAGCAAAGAAACACACACUCUCCUCUGACAAAAUAUACAAGAACAGAUAAUUUUGCAGUCAAAAUCAUGUACACUCCAAGUCUUGGAGCUGCUUGGAGGAGGUAUUGAGGUUCAUGGUGCAACUCAUGUUGGUGGACUUUUUCUUCGUGAAAAUCAACAUUAGUCUCACUUUUCCAUUCAACGUUGCUCGACUGGUCAGAGGGAUCCAAGCGUGCUGAUUCAGUUCACUUCCAAGCACAUCUCCAGGCACGUUGGUAGAGGACAAGUCCACUGGAACAGCGAAUUUCUUCGUUGAUUUGAAACUAGCCUUUCCCUUGGGAAUCGCAGCUUGCCCUACCUUGUAGUUCUGAUAGAAGAAUUCAACAGUGCUAUCUUGGUACUUGUAGCGACCAAAGUUCGGAUUCUUGACAGAGAGUUCUGCAAACAUCUGGGUACUGAAGGAAGAAUUUGUGGGCAAUGUUGCAGCCUUGAAAUCCUGAAAUGUGGCCGACCUCACGCGGAAUUUUGGCGUCCUAACCUUCAUCACCACGAGGGAGAAGACCAAUAUAACAGCAGUUUGGAACACAACAAAGGCCGCACCAUAUGCAACAUAUUUCAUUCGCUUCUUGCGACGCUCUUCCCUUUGGGCGACCGAGGCCAACUCUUCAUCCCCUCGUCCAUGAGGAUUGGCAGUUGCCGCGGCAAAAACCUUUUCUCCCCCGUUCUCUGCCAUUAUAUUUGAUGCUUUUGAUCAAUAUUUAACAAGAGACGGUUCUAGGCUUUUUACUUGCGGCUCAACGAAAGCUGAAAUUUUGUAUAGCUACAGAUCUAGGAAGCUUCAGUUGGUGAUGAAAAAGUUUCGGCAGUCACUGGGAGUAUUUAUAUUGUCCUAUUACUGAAGACUUGCAUAAUUAGAACUCCUUUCUUGAAUUUUUCUUGUGCAAACGAGUAAUUAAUGCUAAAGGCGGUAAAGGUAGGAGUAGACUUUGUAGACACGUUAAAGGGCUUUAAUUUCUCGACUUUCCAGAUGUUUGGGAAGUUGCCCUGAAAACCCUGAUAAGCGGUUUGUUGAAAUUGAGGUUGUAACUGCGGAAUUGGGAGUACCAUAGAUUCUGUCUUGUUGAUGUUGCAUAACUGGUUAUUCUUGGCUCUAAGUAAUCUGUUGCUCUAGAAUGUUUAGAAAUAAUUGUUUGUUUAUCGUACACUUUUGGCACUCGAAACAUUUAUGUGGACUAUUAUUAUCUAACCAGUAAGUUUAUUAUAGGACAGUCACUUUGAAAAGUUGCCAUAUGUAGCCAACUUGUUAGAAAUAAUUUCUUUGCACAAAAGCAAUAUAUGUACAAGACUCAACUUUGAUAUCCACUCAAUGUCUAAUGACAUAUGAAAAAGAUCAUUCCAAUUAAGAUUCUAAAAAAUUAGAAGUUUUGAGUACAAAUUCUUUUGUCCUUCUUCUUGCUUUUUAAAUUUCAUCCCUUAGUUAAUUACUAAAUCUUUUUUAAAAAUCAUUUAUUAAUUUAGUGUUUUCUCCUUUCUCACUGUCACAUGCAUUUGCUACCAAUCUGUGUAACAUAUGUAUCACUUAAACCACGUAUGACUAUUUCGAUUUAGUAGAAUUAGUUAAUCUACAGCAAUUCUCAAACUUCAUAAUUGAAACACAUCAAGCGUCCCCAUCCAUUAAAAUACUUUGACUAAAAGAUGUGUGCUCCUGGUUGUAUAAUAGGUAUAUGUAUAUGUACAUAUACAGAUCAUGUGAUCCAAAUACUUAAGAGCUAAUUUGUAGAAUCUAACUUUUCAAAUGCAUUAGAAACUUAUAGUCGUUUGAAUCCAAUAAUUUAAGUAUUUAAUUUCAAACUAAAAUUUGUUAGGGGAUUGCAAGAAUCCAGAAUCAUUUUAGGCCAAUUAAAGCAGCAUUUUGCUGAUCAAUUGGUGAACUUUAUUGAAAUUCACUCUCAUUGUUUGAUAACCUAUAUAAAGGUUCUGUUUGAGCUGUAUAAAAAUUACAAGGCAAAAUUAAUGGGCCUAAAAUUUUGUCAAAUUAAUUGAACAUAGAGAUGACAGAUUCCUCUAAGAAACUACAUUUUAAAAAUAUCCAAAAGAACGGGCUUGGUGUAUCCUAAUAUGCUUCUUGAACAUCUAAAGAUUUUGUAAUUACUGUGGAAUGAUCGCCCGUAACACUAUAUGUGUUGAAACGGAAGGUAAAGAUAUACCACAACAUAAGCUGAUAUUUCUUUCUCAUUCAAUAAGUUUGACUGAAUUUUGCCCUCUUGUCCCCUCAACUUUGUUUUAGUUUGAAAUGAACCGAAUAAAAACUGAUUGAUUAUUAUCUUAUAGAAAGCAACCGUAAAAGCACCAAAUGGUGUACAUGCUAGGUCGAAGUCCAACAUGAAAUUUAAUCUUUACGGUGUUCCAAUAACUUUCCAAGGAGUUAGCUUAUGCCCUUAUCAUAGGUGGAUUUUUGGUCGUGUAUUUGAAUUAGAUUAUGAUAGUUUCUAAUUGGUAAUUUUUUGGAUGACGUAGUAUGUCCAACGCACCCCCAAUAUCAAAUUGAGCCUGUUCUUUUUCUUUUUUUUUAAAAAAAAAAAAAAUUUUACUCCACUAAAAUGAUAAGCUCAACUAAACAUGGGAACUGUCAUUUCGAAAUUGAGCAGAAGUCCCUUUACAUACCACUUGUGUCACGGAAUGUGGUUAUUAAUUUCGUGAUUACGAGUAAUUGUUGCAGAUAAACUGAAUAGCAAUAACCUGGAAAAAUCGAAAGUAGAAAGCUCAUUACCAAAAGGACAAAUACUGCUCUAUAAAAUUAGAUCGUACUGCAAAAGUGUAGAAAUUAUUACAAGACAAUAAACAAGACACAUUACUCCCUCUUCAAACAACAAGUAAAAAAAUUUGUAGGUAACACAUGAAGACUAGCAUAUCUUCAUCAUACAAACGAUAGUAUUGAUACAAACUGCUAGAUAUGUAAUCAAAUCAUUUGCAGCUCAAUUCCUGGAGCUGCCUCGAUGAAGUAUUGAGGUUCAUGGUGCAAUCCAUGUUGGUGGACUUAUUUUUCUUCAACAUUAACAUUAGCGUCACUUUUCCUUUCAAUGUUGCUCGGCUAGUCAGAGGGAUCCAAGUAUGCUGACUCAAUUCACUUCCCAAUACAUUCCCGGGCACAUUGGCAGAGUUCAAAUCCACCGAAACGGUGAAUUUCUUUGUUGACCUAAAGUUAGCCUUUCCCUUAGGAACCACUGCUUCCCCUACCUUAUAGUUCUGAUAGAAGAAGUCAACAGUGCUAUCUUGGUACUUGUAACUACCAAAAUUUGGAUUCUUGACAGAAAGUUCUGUAAUCAUGCUAGUGCUGAAGGAAGCAUUUGUGGUCAAUGUUGAAACCUGGAAAUCCUCAAAUGCAGCAGACCUUACGCGGAAUUUAGGUGUCCUAACCUUCGUCACGACAAGUGCAAAUACUAGUAUAACAGCGGUUUGAAAGACUGCGAAAGCUGCAACAUAAGCAAAGCAUUUCAUGCGCUUCUUGCGACGCUCGUCCUUUUGAGCCAAUGAGGCCACCUCUUCAUCCACACGGCCAUAAGGGUUGCCUGUUGCUGAGCCAUAAACCUUUUGUUCGCCGUUCUCUGCCAUCGGAUCCGAUACUAGGUUAGUUAUAUUUUUGUUGGCACAGGGAUGUUUAAUUUUAGCUGUCUAUUAAUGAAGCUGAAAAUGUAGAUAUAUAUGAAGAAAGGUUUAGUGGCGGAUGAAAUGUUUUGGCUGUCGAACGGAAGUAUUUAUAGUACGAUAAAAUAGUUGCCAGGGUUGUCCAAUUUAUUAGUAUUGAUUACUUAGCCUUGUGAAGAACCGCAACUAGGGGUGUAAUCGAGUCGAGUCGAGCUCGAGUAUUGCUAUACUCGAGCUCGACUCGACUCAUAUACACCAAAGCUCGAGCGAGUCCAAAAAAUCGAUACUCGAGACUCGACUCAAAAAAUUUUCUUUAGGCUCGAGGCUUGACUCGAUACUCAAGGCUCGAAAAUUUUUUUCAUUUUAGGUCUUUUUACAAUUAUGUUAUUACUUUUUUCCCAUUAUAGGAUUUUAUUAUAAAGAAAGAUAUAUUGUAAAUUUCAUAUAAUUUAUACCCAUAAUGGUUAUUUUAUAAUUAUAAUACAUAUAUAUUAUUUAAAUUAUAAAUAUAUUAUUUAAAUAACUCCGGCUCGUCGAGCUACUCGACUCGACUCGAGUUGGACUAUUUCGACUCGAAACUCGACUCGAUUUUCAUUCGAGCUACUCGAAACUCGGCUCGAACUCGGUCAACCCGAGUUCGAGCCGAGUCGUUGACCGAGCUAGUAGCUCGACUCGCGUACAUCCCUAACCGCAACUACCUGUUCUGUCCACCUUUCUGUCUCAUUUUUUAUUAUAUUACUAUUUUUUUUUCAUAAAUAUUAUGUUUUAAUUUUUUUUAUUUUCUUAAAAUCUAAUAACUAUUAAUUAAAUAAAAAAAUAAAUACAAAAGUUUCAAAAAAUAAUAUAUAAUAGAAAAUUAAAAAAUAAAACAAAAACAUUCAUUAAAAAAUAUUAUUUUUUAUGCAUUUUGAUUUUUUGUGUACGUUAAAUUUUGUAUAUUAAUCAGUUAAUAGUGAUUGAAUUUUAAGGAAACAAAGAAGAACUAAACUAUAUAAUAUAUAUAUAUAUAUAUAUAUAUAUAUAUGAAUAAGAAAUAAUAAUAUAAUAAAAAGUGAAAUAAAGUGUAGCACAGGAAAUGGUGGAACAGAAAAUCCGUUGCGGCGAAGAACUCCAACGUUUAAGAUUUUCUCUUUCUUGUGAAAAGAAAACGAGUGACUUAAAGCUAACGGCAAAGGCAGGAGGAGACUUAGCAAAGCCAGUUCUCGAGUGUUUCCUUUGAACACGCUCUUAACGGCUUUGAUUUGUUGACUUUCCCAAGUUUCCAGAUAUUAGGAAGUUGCCCUGCAGAAGUCUACCAGAUAAACAUUUGAUUUGAAGUUGGGAGUCACGCACCAUUGAGUCAAUGACUAAUUCACAGCCACUUAAUUCUGCCAGUGUUGACUGCUGGGUACGAUUUCUAGAAGCAUUAACUCAAAAAUGUCUCGUAAGUUCUCCUUUACAGCUGCCUAGACAGAUUUCAAAACUAGUUAUCAUCUAACGUAGUUUUCUAAUAUCUUUUUUUAUCUAUUAAAAAAUAUAUGUUUUAAAUUAAUUAAUAUCACAUCGAUCGGUCAGACAUCAGUAAUGCUAGUAAAUUCAACUGAAUUUAUUUUCAAUUUCGGAAUCCUCUCUUAGUGUGACCGUAUUCGUAAUAUCUAGGAAAAUUCAGGAAAACCCAAGCUCCCUAUUUCCCAAUUUCAUUUAAAUAUUGAAUCUAGUGACUGAGAGCAAGUUUUGGAAAAUUACAUUGGUCGUGAUUUUAUAUGAACUCAAAAAUCUGUAUAAAACGUACGAUUGAGGCAAUACACCCCAAGGGUUCAACGAGCAUUUCUCCCUAGAAGUCUUCCCUUUUAACAAGUCAUCAUCUACAUGAACAUGACAUGCCCAAAAUCUAAAGAACGCCUAAUUAGUUAACGAUUGUCUCGAUAGUUAGGCAAGUGGUUCUCCUCAAAAGCAAUGGGUAUUUUAUUCAAAAAAAAAAAAAGUCCUUUAUUUUUCAGAAAAGCGCAAGUAGAAAGAUUUUUUUUUUUCAGUUUACGUUGAGCUUAAUUAUCUUUGAGCAUUGGAAAAUUUAACUUCUUAUUGCUUGUUUUAGCAUUAUAUACUUUGCUUGUUUUAGCAUUAUAGACUUGAAAUGUUUUCUUAAUUGUACUCCCUCCAUCCCACUUUGAUGGUCCUGGUUGUUUUUUCACACAGUUUAAGAAAAAAUAGUUAACUUUGUUGGAACAAUCAAUUUAGGUAGCUAUUUUUCUAAAAUACCCUCACAUUAAUUAGAGUAUAACUUUAUGAGAACUUGAAUUGAUGGUAAAAAAGAAUUAACUCUCAUUAAAUGGGGUAGGUUUAUAGUAACAACAACUUACAUUGAAUAAGGGUAUUUUAGGAAAAUUAAAAUACAACUACAUUCUUUAAUUGGAAACUGAACUACAAUUUGGGACAGACGAAAAAGAAAAAAAUAGGACUAUCAAAGUGGGACGGAGGGAGUAUCUAAUAUUCGAAUUUACUAUUAGAAAAAAAUAAUCCUUUGAAAAUUGGAAGCGCCUUUGAGAAAUCAGUAACACUACUAUUUAUAGCACCAUCCUUCGCUGGGAAUAACUUCUAGCCGUAUUUAGACAGAAAUUGGCAGCAGUAAUCUUCAACCAGAAGUGGAAACCUCAGUCAAUGACAGAAAAGCGGUUUACAAGACCAAAGGGAUAAUAUUCACUAAAACAUUUGAACUGAAAAAUAGUACAUACUACAAAUAAUGACUAAUUGGAGAUUGGAGUAAACUACGUUACUCUCCCAAACAAUCACAAAUAAAAGACUUUCUAUACAAAAUAUCACCAAUAGAAAAAUAUGUUACAUUAGGAUAAACUAGGACGAGGGUACUUGAUGAAAUCAUUUGCAUUCCAAAUCCUGGAUCUGCCUAGAAGAAGUAUUAAGGUUCAUGGUGCAAUUCAUGUUGGUGGACUUGUUUUUCUUAAAAAUCAACAUAAGUGUCACUUUUCCUUUUAACGUUGCCCGGCUAGUCAGAGGGAUCCAAGGUUGUUGCCUGAGUUCAUUUCCUAAUACGUCUCCCGGCACAUUGGCAGAGUUCAAAUCCACUGGGACAAUGAAUUUCUUGGUCGACUUGAAAUUAGCCUUUCCUUUGGGAGAAACAGCUUCUCCUACCUUAUAGUCCUGAUAGAAAAAUUCAAUAUUGGUAUCUUGGUACUUGUAGCGACCAAAAUUUGCGUUCUCGACGGAAAGUUCUGCAUUCAUCCUUGCGCUGAAAGAAGCAUUUGUGACCAAUGUUGAAACCUGGAAAUCAUCAAACGUGGCAGAUCUUACUCGGAAUUUAGGGGUCCUGACCUUCAUCACAACGAGUGCAAAGACCAGUAUAACAGCUGUUUGAAACACAGCGAAGGCUGCAACAUAUGCAAGACACUUCAUUCGUUUCUUGCGACCCUCUUCUCUUUCAGCAAUUGAGGCCGCCUCUUCGUCAUAGGCCUUUCGUUGCUGACCGUUCUCUGCCAUUGAUUUUGACAAUCUAUUUGCACGAGAUUUUUGUUUUGAUAGCUUGCUGCUGCGGGUAGAAUAUAAAGGUGAACGAAGCUUUUAGUGGGGAUGGAAAACUUUAGGCAGCCUGUAUUUAUAGUGUCAUAGUACUAUGACGAGGUAUGAGAUUUGGCGAUAAGAUUUCCGCAUCAGGAGAUAACUUUUUUGAAGUUUUCUUGAGAAAACGAGUGACUUUUGCUUAAGUCAGAUUUUGUAAAAUUUCUCUUGUCGUAUACGCGCUUGAGAGAUUUUCAACUUGGUGAUGUUCCAGAGAGCAGGAAGCUGCCCGGCAAAAGUACUCAAGAAGGACCCUAGAAACCAUUAAAUAUUCUUUCUUUCUAAAGCUGGAGACUAUUUUUAGAUUAAUAAUUCAGAAAUAAUUAUAGAUAGACAAAGAAUAAAAAUUCAACAAGAAGAUUGACAAAAGUUCUUGGAGCAAGUCUGAGGCUCUGGGUCUUUUUGGUUACAGAACCAGAGUUUUUUUUUUAAAUUAUAGAUAGUUAAAUAAAAUUUUCCGAAAUAAUUAUAGAUAGUUAAAGGAUAAAAAUUCAACAAGAAGAUAGACAAAAGUUCUUUGAGCAAGUCUGCAACUCUGGAUUUUUUUUGGUUAUAGAACCAGAGUUUUUUUUUUUUAAAGAAAAAAUUUUACAGAAAAGAAAUACGUUAUGCUAUAAAGGUUUAUUGGACACUUAAUUUUCAACUAGUAAUUUUUCUUUUUGGGAAAAACUUAAAAUUUAGUCUUCAAUUCUCAUUAUCAAUGAUUUAUUCCGGAAAUAAUUAGUAAAAUACCCACGGAUUAAGCCACUUUUUGGUUAUUUGCCUAAGCGAUGUUAUUGUAGAGAAGGUAUUCGUUCAGUCACAUUAAGUGGCGAUCGAUCGCCUUAAGCUUAAUGAAUCAAAUAUAUUGCCUAUGUUCAAAUCGAUUUUCACAUUGAAAAGAUCCUAUCUGCCAUUCAAAGCAAUCAGCUAUUCUUGUCAACCCUUUCCUCCAUUCUGUUUUUUCAUUAGAACAUUUUCAUUACGAGUUACAAGAUCAUGGGAAGUUGAUAGCAGUGACACACUAUUUGGUAGCAUGUGAUACUAUGCCUUUUUAUUUGUCUUUGUACGAUUUCCACAUCCAUAUAACAUAAACUGUGAAAUGAGCCUCUAAAAUUAUAAGGUCUUUCAAUUUUACCCCUUAAAUUGAAGUAAAAAAAAAAAAUCAAUCAAUUCAUCUUUUGUUUACACACCAUAUAUAUGCUAGGAAAUCAAGAGAUUUUGGUACACAUUAUUGCAUUUGUAUGCUUAAUAGAAAAAAGGUACAAAAAGUUUAUGGGUAGCCAAAAAAUUACCUUGAAACCACAGCAUAUAAGUAUUUUUUUUCAUUUCAGAGUCCUAUCUUUUUAACGUAAUUUCCAGAAUUCUUGGCGCAAACCUCAGAAUGGUAAACUGCUUCAAAUUUUGGUAUUUGUCUAUAACUUCUUUUCUCAAAAUUUUGAAUAAUACCGGAAUUAUACGGUAUGACAAUUCUUCUAGAACAUGGAAGAUGGAUCGUAAUGAGCGACGGGCGAACAUUUUAAGCAAGCCACUUAUGGAAUAUAUUUGCUUAGUAAAACAAUAAGGGGGGAGAUCGAUAGCCGUCAAGAAACAUGCACUCUCCAGUCUCGCCUCAGACAAAUCAACAAACAAAAGAAUUCGUAUAUUAUAAUAAAUUCAUCCAAGGAAAUCUAUGGAAGCGAUGCAUGAUAUUAACCAGAAAAACAAAAAAUAAAAAAGGAAUCAACAUGACAAAUUAUGAGCACUUCAAAUCUUGGAGCUGCCUGGAUGAGAUAUUGAGGUUCAUGGUGCAAUUCAUGUCGGUGGACUUAUUUUUCUUGAAGAUCAACAUUAGCGUCAAUUUUCCCCUCAAUGUUGCUCGGCUAGUCAGAGGGAUCCAGGCGUGUGGACUCAAUUCAUUUCCUAGUACACCCCCGGGCACAUUGGCAGAGGAUAAAUCCACCGGAAUGACGAAUUUCUUGGUUGAUCUGAAAUUAGCCUUUCCCCUGGGAACCACAGCUUCUCCUACCUUGUAGUUCUGAUAGAAGAAUUCAAUAGUGCUAUUCUGGUACUUGUAGCGACCAAAGUUUGCAUUCUUGACAGAGAGCUCUGCAAUCAUCUUGGUGCUAAAAGAAGCAUUUGUGGUCAAUGUUGAAACCUGGAAAUCCUCAAGUGCGGCAGACCUCACGCGGAAUUUAGGCGCCCUGACCUUCAUCACCACAAGUGCGAAGACCAAUAUGACUGCUGUUUGGAACACAGCGAAGGCUGCAACGUAUGCAAAACAUUUCAUCCGUUUCUUGCGACGCUCUUCCCUUUGAGCCACUGAGGCCAUCUCUUGAUCAUAUGCCAUUGAUUUUGAUUCUUUUUGGUGCUGGAAUGUAUCUAUUUGCACGAGAUGUUUGUUGAAUUGUUUUGAUUGCUUGUUGCUUGGCGAAGUAUAUAAAGAUUGAACGAAGCUUUUAGCGGUGAUGGAAAAGUUUAGGCAGUCUCUUGGGGUGUUUAUAGAUUUAUAGUGCUAAAGAGAGGUGUUUAUAUAUUGAUGUUAGUUAGAGGUCCACUUUUUUUGAAGUUUUCUUGUGAAAGCAAGUGAACUUUUCUGCUAAAGUUAAUAAUGGCUUCGUAAACUUGCUAUUGUAGUUUACGCGCUUACGAGGUUUUGACUUAUUUGAUGAUCCAGAAGAUAGGAAGUCGCCCAACAAGACACCAGUAUGAUUUUUUUGAAAAUAAGAUUGCUUAUCCAGUUUGCGGUGGAUUUGGGGCUUUGAGGAGUGUUAAUGCGCCACUAUGGUAUUACAGAACCUUCUUUAUGUUUUAUCCCCUUUUGGGGUGAUGCUCGUCUUUCGUUUUCCUUAACAAUGGGAUAUAACUCAAUUUUCUUCUUAGCAUAUAUAAACCCGAAUGGGAUACUACAGAAGAAGUUUGCAAUUCUGGUAACCCCCUUUCCCAUUUGUUUUAGCAAGGAAAAAAAGUAAAAUUAUUUUCAUAUAUAUAUAUAUAUAUAUAUAUUGCACUUAAAAAUAUAAUAUCUUGUCCAUUGCCUUAGUAUACAUCGCAAGUAUAUUGGAUUAAUGUAAUACUGCAACAUUGUUAGAUGACCGAAGACAUAAAAUUCCUAAAAGAAAAAAAUUGCAUCAAGUUAAACUAAUUGUGUUGCACGUAAAUUUUUUGACCUCUAAAACAUCUAAAGGAAUUAAAUUCUAAAAUCGCCCUCUAAAUUGCAAGAAAGUGUCAUUUUAGCCUCUCCAAUUGUAACUCUUUCAAUCUUACCCUCUUAAUUGAUCUUCUUCACUUCAUGGUUAAUUUUCUAUAUUCAUCAAACAUGUGAAAGGCCAAAAAAAAAAAAAAACAUUUACAAGGCCAUUUAUUUUAAUUUUUUUUAUAUUAACUAAGCAUUUGAAUUUUAAAAUUGUUCAAGUUGCAAAAAGCACUUGCUGAAGUUUCCAACAAAGCUACACAUCAGAGAAUGACCAUUUAGAAAGCAAGUUUAUUAAUACCUCCUUGAUGAUGAUUUUCAAUGCACUAGUAAUGCCUAAAAUAUGCCAAAGAUUCAUUUUAAAGAGUAGAGUGAAUUUUUAACCAAAAAAUAAAGUUAGGUGACUAGACCAUGCCAAAUUAAAUAGUUUAGUGAUUAUUUUUGACGUUUACGCUAUUGUAAUAUUAACCUUAAGAAAUCAUUUUGAUAUUAAGCACUUGCCCACCCUCCUAAGCUUGAAAAAUGAUAUUUGGUAGAUAUGUUAUUUACAAUUUACAUUUGCUCAAUAAAAAAUUUGAAAAUCUUAUAUAAACAAAGACAAUCAAGCUAAAAAUUGUCUAUCUAUUGUUAUGAGUUUAAAUAAGACUUGUUUAUCUAUCAAAUCAAAUGCAGAUAAACUUUUCAAUAUUAUGCUAAUCAAACUAAAUUCGAACCAAAAUAAAAUGUUUCUAAAUGCAAAGGAUAGGGGAUUCUCUUUUUACUUCAUAAAAGGUGGAAUGCUGAUAUAGUAUAGUUCACUCAGAAAAAAAUCUACACGAUGAUAAAAUAUUUUUCAAUGAGAAAAUUCCAAGUUUAUAACAUCAAAGAUUACACAACGGAUUAGAUUUAAAAUUUCCAUUAAAAUCCAGAAAAAAUUGUAAAUUAAGCCUCUAGAAUUGUAAGCCUUUCGGUUAUACCCCUUAAAUUGAUUAUCUUCAUCAAUUAAAAUUUUUUUCUUUAAACAACAUAUACAAGGCCGUUACUAGUGGCUCUAGCACACACACCCUAUGUGUGUGCUUCAUUAAAUUAAAAAGCAAAAACUUAAAAAAAAAAAAAAAAAGGAUGGGUGGCCUUAAAACUACCUUGAGACAUUCUAGAGCUAGGAGGUCAUUGCUUAUAAUAUGAUCUGGUGUGAGCGCCUUGUACCAUUUUGUCCUUUCCUAUAAAGAUAAUGUUCGUAUUCAAAAGGGGAGAAAAAACUAUUUAUAAGAUGGAAUAUAUUGCUCUGGCUUUAUAAAUUGGAAAGACAUCUUUCUUAUAUUACUACUCUGAUCAAGUAGCAAAAAAUCACUCGCAGAAGUUUCUAAAGAAUGCGACAAUAAUUGAAGCCAAAAGCAUACGAAGUUCGAUGCUUACUAGAAAAAUCCAAGAGUGAAGGAAAGCUGACAAAAAAUUGUGUUACCCACGUCAUGUAACUUAUAUUUUCUUUUUUUUUGCGCUUGAGCAGCUUAACUUCUGCAAAUCAAAUUUUACGUAUGGCUUUAUUCUUACAGAAUACCCAAACUAAUUCUCCAGCUGCAGCUCAAAAAUGGAAAAAAAAAAAAAAAUUUUGUCCAGCUGCCAUGCCCAUAUUUUAUGUAUUUUUUUUUCACCUAAUUUCCAAAGUACGAAUCUCUGGGGUAAAUUAAACAUGCUUGGCGAGCCCUCAGAUUAUUAUAUCAAAUGUUAUAUUUGUUCAUUAUUGCUUUUUAGGUAGAAUAUUGAAAUAAUGCUGGCAUUGUAUCUGUACUGAAAUUUUUCCAAAAGAAGGAAGAAAGGGAGCCACUGAAUAAUAGGGGAAAAUGUUAAGGCAAGCAAAUUAUUGUAUUUACAGAAGCGACCAGGGGCGAUAGCCGUCAAGAAACAUGCACUAUCAAGUCUCCCCUCAAACAAAUAAACAAACAAAUUAAAGAAUCAUCUACUCUAAAUACGACAUCCAAGGGAAAAAAAAAAAAAAACAAAAGACAACAGAGGCAAUCAAUUUGGCAAAUUAUGAACACUUCAAAUCUUGGAGCUGCCUAGAUGGGAUAUUGAGGUUCAUGGUGGACUUAUUUUUCUUGAAGAUCAACAUUAGCGUCAGUUUGCCUUUCAAUGUUGCUCGGCUAGUCAGAGGGAUCCAAGCGUGUGGACUCAAUUCAUUUCCUAGUACAUCCCCGGGCACAUUGGCAGAGGACAAAUCCACCGGAACAACGAAUUUCUUGGUUGAUCUGAAAUUAGCCUUUCCCCUGGGAACCACAGCUUCUCCCACCUUGUAGUUCUGAUAGAAGAAUUCAAUAGUGCUAUUCUGGUACUUGUAGCGACCGAAGUUUGCGUUCUUGACAGAGAGCUCUGCAAUCAUCUUGGUACUAAAAGAAGCAUUUGUGGUCAAUGUUGAAACCUGGAAAUCCUCAAGUGCGGCAGACCUCACGCGGAAUUUAGGCGCCCUGACCUUCAUCACCACAAGUGCGAAGACCAAUAUGACUGCUGUUUGGAACACAGCGAAGGCUGCAACGUAUGCAAAACAUUUCAUCCGUUUCUUGCGACGCUCUUCCCUUUGAGCCACUGAGGCCACCUCUUGAUCAUAUGCCAUUGAUUUUAAUUCUUUUUGGUGCUGGAAUGUGGCUAUUUGCACGAAAUGUUUGUUGAAUAGUUUUGAUUGCUUGAUUCUUGGCGAAGUAUAUAAAGCUUGAAGGAAGCUUUCAGCGGUGAUGAAAAAGUUUAGGCAGUCUCGUGGGGUAUUUAUAGAUCCAUAAAACGUGUACCAAAGAGAGGUGUUUAUUGAUGUGUUAAGAGGUCCGCGCUUAGGACAACUAUUUUGAAGUUUUCUUGCGAGAACAAGUGAACUUUUGCUGCUGAAGUUAAAGACUCUGUAAACUUUUUGAUCUCGUCCUAUACGCGCCUGCAAGUUUUUUGACUAUAGCUGCCCAGCAAGGCUUUAGUAUGAUUUUGUUGAAAAUAAGAUCAUUGCCCAUCCAGUGUCGGGUGGAUUUGGGGUUUUUGUUUUGGGGGGGGGGGGGGGGGGGGCGGUGUUAUAUAUAAUUCUCUAAACAAAAGGAAAGAGUGUGAAACAGGCAAGAAAAAAAAAAGAGAGAGAGAGAGAGAGAGAGAAGAAGAGAAGUUCCUUUCAUCAAAUGUAAAUCCAAAUUUCUUUUGGGUAGCAAAAUACAUACGGAUCGGAUCAAUCCACUUUUCACCUAGUUGCUUGAACGGGUGGUGAGCUGUUGCACAAAAAGUGGUAUUCCAGAUGCAAUUCAGGUGUAAUAACUCAAUUUUCUCUUAGCAUAUAAAAUUCCUCUUGAUGCUACACAAAAUGUUUUCUAGUGAGAGACUUCCAAAUUUAUAUAAUCAAAGAUUACAAAAUGAGUUAUUUUUAAAACUGCCAUUAAAGUACAGAAAAUGUGUGAAGUCUUUCAAUUAUACCCCUUAAAUUGAUUUACUUCAUCAAUUAAAUUUUUGUGUUUGAACAACAUACACAAGCUAGCCAUUACUAAACGAUUAAUCGAGAGAGAGAGAGAGAGGAGAGAUGGGUGGCCAUAAAACUACCAUGAAACAUUCUAUAUAUGAAAGUCACUGCUUACAAUGUGUACAGAGAAAUGCAAUUUUUGGUUCCCGAUAUUGGCUUAUGUGCUAAAUUGGCUCCUCAAGUUUCCAUCAAAACUAAUUGGGUCCUCAAAGUUUCUCAUUUUAAGUAAAUUUAGGACCACUGACUGAAAAUCAUAAUAAUUAACUAUCAAAAUCAAAUUGUUAUUACUCAAAAGUGUUCAUUUUGCAAUUUUUCUUCAUAAUAUUUUAAGUAAUUAUAAUUAGCAUUUUAAGACAAAAUGGAAUGUGAAUUAAUUAAAUAAAAAAUAGAUGUGUUCCAAUUAGUUGAAGAAAAUGAGAAAAUUUUGGUGUUAAUAAAUAACUUUAUUAAUUACUACUAAACAAAUUCUUCCAUGACUAGUGGAAUAGGUUGUAAAUUGGUAGUUCGUAAUGGUGAUUUUAAAAAAAUUAGUGAAUGUAAAUAUCUAUAUGAUGUGUUUUUUGGAAAUUUUUUUUUAAAAAAAAUCCCUUAUAUUUUUUAUUAUCUUUCUUACCUAUUAAAAUUCCAGGUUCCAAUAGUAAAGUUUUAAAAUAUUUAUUUUGCUAUUUGUACACAUUGAUAAUUUUAUUGAAUGAUUAAAAUAAUUCUACAAUAUCAACUUCAUCUUAAUUGAUAACCUGUUGAAAUGUGAAAAAAAAUUGUCAACCUAAUUUACAUAUAGUAUAGAUUCUUAUGUUUUAAAAGGAUAUUUAAAUAAAUGUUUAGUUAUUAAUACUAGUAAAAAAAUGACAGACUUGUUAUCAAUUAAUUAUUUAUAAUUUAAAACAAUAAAUACACACAUAAUGCUAAAUUUGAAACUAACUAUACAAAAGGGGAAGAAACCUGUGAGAAAUAGUUGGAUGAAUAAAUGAGAUAAAAAUGAAAAAACAACAAGAAGUUUGAUUCAUUUUUGCACUUUUUUUAAACAAAAGUUUGACCUAGUUCAUAUUUCAUUUCAUCCUAAAACCACAGUAUAACUAUUUAAAACUUAAUAGACCGUAAUGAUUCAAAUUCAAAACAUUUUUGGGGAGCAAAAAGGCAUAAUCAAAGUUGUUGACUAAUUAAAAUUUGUUUUUUUUUAUCACUUUUUAAUGUUUAAUUUCCGUCAAUUGUCCGAAAUGUAUCUAAAAUCAGAAAUUUUAGAGACCAAAUUUGUUUUGAUGAAAAUAUUAUAGACCUAACUACUUGACACACGCGCCAUACAUUGGGAACUAAAACUACAUUUUCGCAUUAAAUGUGUUCUGGUGUGAGCGCCUUGUACUAUUUUAUCCUUUUGGGUGAAGGUUAUAUGGGAAUUCCAACGAGUGAAAAAAUCAUUUAUGUGGAAUAUAUUCCUCUAGCUUUACAAAUUGGAUGGACAUCUCUCUUAAAUUACUAGUAUUUGAUGAAGUAGCAAAAAAUCACUCCCGGAAGUUUGUGAUGGCUUACGUGUUAUGAUUUGAGUUGGUAAGGAGAGAGAGAGUAGAAAAGAGCAGAAUUCUUACUGCGAGAAAUGAGUGAGCGUACAAUUUGAAUAUUCUCAGAUGCGUCCUAGUGUACAGAAAGCACUUUAUUAGUUAUACAACGUAUCUGCCCUAUAUUUCCUUCAAUCAAUCUGCUUUGGUGAUACCUAACUGUUACAAUUAACAAACCAACUGCUAGUAACGGCUGGUCCCACUAAUUGCUAACUAACUUCCGGCUGGCGUUGAAAUUCCGUGUCAUAACAGUACGUUACAGCUGCAUGAGACUUCCUAAAACAACCGACUUCAGUUAAAUGCUGAUGAAGUUCGAUGCAUCCCAGAAAAACCCAACGGCGAAGGAAAGCUGACAAAAAAUUGUACGUAUUAGGCACGUCACGCAACUAGAUGUUCUUUAGUUCCUUUUUCUUUUUGGGGAACAUGUUAAAGGCAAGCAACUUAUUGUGUAUAUCACUUUGUAAAACGGUACAAAGGACACAGAAACCCACCGGAGGAGCUAGCCGGCUGUCAAUACCUAUGCACUAUCCAAUCACCACUUGGGAUUCUUAGUGACAUGUUUUCUAUGCCAACUCAAUGUCAUCAAUAGUGUUGCGCCAAGUGUCAUGUUAUUAUUUACAUUUUAAUUUUCUAAUAAUUUAACUUGGUUUGGUUUAACACAAGUGUAAAUAAUAACAUGGUACUUGGCGCAAUAUUAUUGGUGGCAUUGGGUUGACAUAGAAAACAUGUCACCGAGGAUCCAAGCGACAAAUUAUGAGCACUCCAAAUCUUGGAGCUGCCUUGAUGAGAUAUUGAGGUUCAUGGUGCAAUUCAUGUCGGUGGACUUAUUUUUCUUGAAGAUCAACAUUAGCAUCAAUUUUCCCCUCAAUGUUGCUCGGCUAGUCAGAGGGAUCCAAGCGUGUUGACUCAAUUCAUUUCCUAGUACAUCCCCGGGCACAUUGGCAGAGGACAAAUCCACCGGAAUGACGAAUUUCUUAGUUGAUCUGAAAUUAGCCUUUCCCCUGGGAACCACAGCUUCUCCUACCUUGUACUUCUGAUAGAAGAAUUCAAUAGUGCUAUUCUGGUACUUGUAGCGACCGAAGUUUGCAUUCUUGACAGAGAGCUCUGAAAUCAUCUUGGUACUAAAAGAAGCAUUUGUGUUUAAUGUUGAAACCUGGAAAUCCUCAAAUGCGGCAGACCUCAGGCGGAAUUUAGGCGUCCUGACCUUCAUCAGCACAAGUGCGAAGACCAAUAUGACUGCUGUGUGGAAUACAGCAAAGGCUGCAACGUAUGCAAAACAUUUCAUCCAUUUCUUGCGACGUUCUUCCCUUUGAGCCACUGAGGCCACCUCUUGAUCAUAUGCCUUCCGUGCACCGUUCUCUGCCAUUGAUUUUGAUUCUGUUUGGUGCUGGAAAUGUGCGAUUAUUUGCACGAGAUGUUUGUUUAAUUGUUUUGAUUGCUUGAUGCUUGGUGACGUAUGUAAAGCUUGAUGAAAGCUUUUGCUGGUGAUGGAAAAGUUUAGGCAGUCUCAUGGAGUAUUUAUAUUUUGCAGUGCUAAAGAUAGGUGUUCGUUAGAGGUCCAAACUUGGGACAACCUUUUUAAAGUUUUGUUGUGAGAGAAUAAGUGAACUUUGCUGCUGAAGUUAAAGACUUUGAAAACUUUGCUUGUUCUGGUCGCAUACGCACCUACAAGUUUUUGGCGCCUACAAGAAAUCAGCUCUUAUUGAGCCCCUUUUCCCGUUUGUUUAGCAUGGAGAAAUAAGUUAAUUAUUUUCUUAUAAAGGUAUUGAAAAAAUAUAAAGGAGGGACUAAAUCCAUACUCUCUUCCUAAAUUUUUCUGAAUCCAAAUUUAUGCUUCCACGAUAGAAAUAGUAUGCCUUGCACCGUCCUUUUACCUAUUUAUUUCUAUCUUUCAAAAUUUUUUUUUAGUUUUACUCUAUUCUAAUUUAUGUAAGCUAUCGAGUGUUAGUCAUUUUCCUAUCCAACAUUUCAUAGGUUUUGAGAUUUUUGGGUCUAUCAAUGAUGUAAUACAUCAAACUUUGAUUCUCAAUAUGUAACAAUCAGACUUGACAAGCCUACAGCAUUCCUUGUAAAAUUUUUCGACAGUUGUAUCUAGCUUCUCGUCAAGUUUUUGGUUACUAAAAUGAUCAAAUGAAGUAGUACGAUAUCUUUUUCUAUUUUUUUCACCAUUAAACAAUGUUAUUUUUGUGAUUUAUUCAUGUGUGAGAAAUCUGUUCCUUACUGUGAUCACUUUUGAGAACAUACCUUUGUGUUAUGGAGGCAGAUAAUUUUUGUUAAUUUCAUUAUGAAAAGAUAACUUUAGAAUCUGCAAAAAAAUAACAACUAAACUUACUAAAUGAUAAGGGUUUUAAUGUCAUAUGAGUGUUUAGGAUGUGGAUUUAGCACAGGAAGGUGUGGAUUUAAUCCCUCCAAAAAUAUGAAAGUCUAUUGGAUUAGUACCUCACUAAUAACUAUUUACAGGACAGGAAAUUGAUGGAGUUAUUGUCCGAAAGUCAUCUUACUUAAAUUUAUGGUACAAUUCAUGUUGGUGACCUUAUUCUUCUUGAAGAUCAACAUUAGCGUCACUUUUCCUCUUAGUGUUGCUCGGCAUGUCAAAGGGAUCCAAGUGUGCUGCCUCAAUUCACUCCCAAGUGCAUCACCUGGCAGAUUGAUGGAGUUAAAAUCCACAGGAAUAAUGAAAGUUUUGGUCCAUGGCAUAUUCGCCUUUCCUUUGGUAACCGCUGCUUCUUCCCUUACCACAUAGUCCUGAUAGAAGAAUCCAAUGGUGCUAUUGCGAUACUUGUAGCAGCCAAUGUUUGCAUUCUUGACUGAGAAUUCCACGAUCAUCCUUGUGUUGAAUGAAGAAGCAUUUGUGACUAAUGAGGAAAUGUCGAAAUCCUCAAAUGUGGCAGAAUUUACCCGAAAAAAAUUUAGGCUUCUUGACCUUUAUCAGGACGAGUGCAAAGACCAAUAUAACAGCAGUUUGGAACACCGCAAAGGCAGCUACAUAUGCAAAACACUAAUUCGUUUCUUGCAACGCUCAUCUCUUUGAGCUAAUGAUCAGGCCACCUCUUCAUCCACCAUUGCUUCCCUGUUCUGUGCCAUUACUUGGAGGAUCUAAUUGAAGUAUGUCCUGCAUAUCUAUUUUAGUUUUUGGCAGGAGUGUUCUAUUUUAGGUCCAAGGGUUAAGAGAUUAUAAAUAGUCUCUUAGAGUUACUUUUAGGAGGGCAGGUACAUUUUGGGAUACAGAAAAAUUCAGAAAUGUAAGGUCGGCUCAAAUGCAAGAGUUGAAGAUUGUCGAAAUAAAAUUGAGAAGUUUUUUUUACUCUUGGUCUUUAUGUAUUGCGUUUCAAUUUUUGAAUUCUUGCAUCUCAUAAUUAUUACAAGUAGCUAAAUCAUUAAUUAGGGCAAGGGUUGUAGAGUUGAUUGGUUUACUUAUGGAUUAAUUUUGAUAUUUAUGAACUAAUUGUUUAAUCUUAUGCCCAUGAUUUGGACCUUUUGAUUUAAUUUAUAUUUCUAUACUUGAUGCAAUAGGAGUAAUUAUAUGUGGUUUGUGUGAAGAACUGAAAUGUGACAUACAACCGUGCACUAAAGGGAGAAACGCAAAAAAGUCUAGAUUCGAGAUAUAUUUGGAAUCUAUUUGAUGACACCUCUAAUUACUUGCACUCUUAAAGGAGAUAAUUGAAUUUCAUUUGUGCAUGAUCUUAAUUGUUGUUCAUGGUAAUCAAAGUGAUCUGGUAAUAAAUCAAUUGACUCUUCCUAGAAGAAACUUGUAGCCCUAAUUUCUUUUUGAUUUAGCAAUAAUCAUUCUUCAUUCAUUCAGUUUCAUUUAUUUGUUUUUCAUUGAAAUAAUAUAUUAAAUAUUUAUUCCUGUAGGUUUAACUUCUGAAAUACUCCAAAUGAUUAUUACUAUGGUUAAUCUUGUACACUUGCAGAAUUCUAUCAAUGAAUUUCGUUGGUCGCUUAAUUAAUGAGAAGGUGCUAAAAGAAAAGCUAAUUCAGUGUGAUGGAAAAGUUUGAGAAGUCACAUGGACCAUAUAUGGUCUUACCUUGCAUAGAAGGAUAGCAGAUUUUCUAAUUAAUUAGUGUUAGUUGGAAUUGCUUAGGACUACUUAAUUGAAGUUUUCAUCCGAAAAAGACUUGAGUGUAUAUUGGGUCCGAAGCACCGAAUGGUUUGUUGACAACUUGACAUCUUGUCACGCGUUUAAAGGCUGUGAUCUCUUGAUUUUCUAGAUAGCUGGAAGUUACGUAAUAAAUUCGAAAGCGCUAGGUUUUAUGCAACGAAAAAUCGUUCAAAAUCUUCGUCAAAUAAAUUUUUUCAUCCUUCAGUUUUUAAAUAUUAACUUUACAUUUCUUACAAAUUCAAAUUAAUAAAACUUGGUUUCAAUUUAAGUUUUCGACCACUUGUUACUUUGAAAUCACCACGUGAUGCACAUGGAGUCAUUUUUUAUGUAUAGAAAAGUUAGAUUCCGCAAAAAUGAAUAUGGAUUAAGUCAAAACUCACUUUUUUUUAAGUAAAAGAGUAAAUAUGAUUUAGGUCCAAUGCUACCUUUUUAGAACUAAAAAUGAAUAUAUUUCUAGUCAUUUGUUUAAUUAUAAAUGAUAUUUAACAUUUUUUUUCCCUUAAAAAAUGCUCAUAUAUAGGUUACGUGAUGGAUUCAAGGUAAAAAUUAGUCAAAAAAACUAGGUUGGAACCAAAAUUUAUCGCCUUGAUUUUGUAAGAAAUGAAAAUUUACUAUUUUAAAAGUGAACGAUGAAAAAAUUCAUUUAACGAAAUGUGAGAGACAUUUUGAACGAUUUUGCCUAUAUGUAAUCUAGAUGAGUUCGUUAUCCAGGUCUCCUAUGUGGUGCUUUCUAAUUGGUGAGUCCUUUUCUUUCUUUUCUUUUUUUUUUCCCCGAGAUAUGAAUCAUAUGUUUCCAAGGUAAUUGAUUGGGAAAAAAAAACUCCUAAGUUUGUCAUUCAAGAUGAGAAUAAUUUUAGAAAAGAUGACAGGGCGUAAAACUUUUCUAAAAUAAUUGCUACCAUUAAAUUAGAUGGGUGCGCACCCGUAUAGAUUUAGGAAAGGUAUAUAGUAUAAUAUUUGUUUAUUGAUGAGAACUGAAUCACCAUUAAAUUAGAUUGAGUGCGUAUUCGUAUAGAUUUAAAAAAGUCAUAUAGUAAGAAAAUGAUGGAACGUAAGAUUUAAACAUUUGACCUCUUAUCUCGCCAAGACAUUUAGGUCAUUGGUGGCGGUGAACGGCCCAAACGACUGUCAACUAUUGGUUUCUGUAUAUUAUUGUAAGACAUACCAAAGUUUGGCCGGUUUAAAAGUGAUAAUGGUCCCAGUCUUCCACAGAUGACCUUCUAUACUGUAAUUCCAAGACCAAGUUGGUAGGACCAUUAGAUUUGACUUUGGACUUGAACACCAAAUAUGGAAAUUUUAGCUUUUUUUUUUAAAAAAAAUAUCAUAAUUUCAUUAAAAUUUGCACUAAUAGUAGAUCAAAUUAUAUCAUCAAACAUAACAUAUAUAUAUAUAUAUAUAAAGCAAAUAUGAAGGAUAGAUGCUACAGAUUUAAGAAACAGAUAAAACAGAUCUAAUGGGCUUUGUUUUGUUUCACAUGAUGCACCUCAGAAUAAAUGUUCAAAUGACUAUUGGAGAUAUUCUUAUUAGUUAUGGGCAACUUAAUUGCAAAGGAAGUUUUGAAAUUUUCUUAAACUAUAAGCACUGAUUUGGGGCAACAAUGAACGGCAACGUCGUAAUUAGCACAGGAAUUCUUCUUUCGCUUCAGAAAUUACAGCAAUUUUAAAACAGAACAUAAUGGCAGUAGAACUUUUCCAGGCAUUUGAACGGCAACUUCAUAAUUAGUACAGCAAUUUUAACUUCUUUCGCUUAAGAAAUUACAGCAAUUUUAAGACAGAAGUACGGAACAUAAUGGAGAGAGCAACUUCACAAGGAAUAAAUUAAACUUGACAAAAACAAAAUAUAUCAACACCACACACCAAGUCAUUACAACAAUUUUGAAAAUGAAACCCAAUGGAGGAACUUGUUAACGAGGAAUAUAUUAGGAAACAACCAAAGUACUUGUAUCACGACCAAGUCAUCUUGCUAGCAUAACGAACUAUAGGGGAGUAUAUCAAAGACUUUCCAAACCAGCUGUUGGAAAAUCGUGAUCAAUCAAUACAAAUAUCUUCAAGCUCCCUUGUCUUUUUUCAAAUAGAAGCGUCUUUUUUGACAAUUCUAACGUAGAUUUUCAGUGUAACUUGAACCGAAUGUGUGGAAAGUCAAGUAAAAACAAUAACUGCAGAGCGCGUUAUUGGCAGGAAAACUUUUGAGGGCUGAUGUAGAAAUUCCUUAACUUUGGGCAUUGGUUAUACGAGAAUUCUUCAACAAAAGGAGCUCUCAUGCUAAUUCAAUUCAUCUAUAAAUGCUCCAUUUCACUGCUAAAGUUUUUCCAUCACCACCAGCUAAACCUUCAACAUCUUCUCAUUAAGCAAGGGAAAGCCAAUACACCCCACCAAAAAAAAAAAGAAAGAAAGGUUUACUCCUGAUUCAUUCCCACUUUUAUUCAAGCACCAAAGUUCAUGGCAGCGAACGGAGAGCACAAGAUGAGCGGCGCACCACCAGCAGUCAAUCCUUAUGGCCGAGUGGAUGAAGAGUUGGCCUCGGUAGCUCAAAGGGAAGAGCGUCGCAAGAAGCGAAUGAAGUAUGUUACAUAUGGUGUAGCCUUUGUUGUGUUCCAAACUUUUGUUAUAUUGGUCUUUUCCCUCGUGGUGAUGAAGGUUAAGACGCCUAAAUUCCGCGUAAGGUCUGCCACAGUUGAGGAUCUCCAGGCUACAAAUGCUAACUUCAGUGGCAAUAUGCAUGCAGAACUCUCUGUCAAGAAUGAGAACUUUGGUCGCUACAAGUACCAAGAAAGCACUAUUGAUUUCUUCUUUCAGAACUACAAGGUAGGGGUGGCUGCGAUUCCCAAGGGAAAGGCUGGUUUCAAAUCAACUAAAAAGUUCACCGUUCCAGUGGAUUUGUCCUCUGCCAAUGCCAAUGUGCCCGGAAGUGAACUGAAUCAACACGCUCUGAUCCCUCUGACCAGCCAAGCAACGCUGAACGGAAAAGUGAGGCUAAUGCUGAUUUUCACGAAGAAAAAGUCCACCAACAUGAAUUGCACCAUGAACCUCAAUACCUCCUCCAAGCAGCUUCAGGAUAUAAGCUGCAAUUAGAGACCUUCCCAUGAUCUCUAGUAUCCAACUUUAGUAGUGUUUUUAAGUGUUUUUUUUUUUUUUUCCAUGAAGAGAGGUAUAGUACUGUUACAAAUUCUUUUAUUCUUUUUGUUUGAGGGGAGAGAGUAGCUAGCCAGCGUCUGUGUUUGUUGCUCUGGCCCCCAACUUUUGUGGUCGAUAUGUAUUACUUUUACAGUUCAAACAUUUAUACGCUAUACUUCUUUCUGUUAUUAGUAAGUAAAGUGCUUGUCUAGAUUACGCUGCUAUGUAUGUUCUUUUUAGCCCUCAUGUUGUUGUCAUCUUUUCUUGAAAUCAUAAGGCAUCAUAUAUAGUAAUAUAAUGACCUCAUCAUUUCAUGAAUAAAUAUCACGAAUUAUUCAAAAAUCGGAAUAUAAGUAGUUUUUUUUUUUUUUUUUUCUGUUUUGACUCCCUGUGUUCACUCUUUCUGUGCCGAUUCUGCCAUAUUAUUUGGAAAUGAUUAAACAUCUCUUUAUAUUUUAUAUUUAAAGCAUAAAAUAUAAUCUUCUUUAAAAUAUAUCAUAUUCUUCUCAUAACUGCUAUGGCUAUACUCUUCCCAUUCAUAUUAAUCAGCAAAAAUCACCAAAAUAACCUUCUUUCUUUAAAACAAAAAUACUUCCAUUUUUAAGCCUAAUAAAAUUUAUCAACAAAUUAUUUUUUGCCCUUUAGCGUACGUCUUUGCCACUAGUUUGAAGAAUGUGGAAACAUUACAAAGGUUUGAUUUGAUGUGAAAGAAACAAUAAUAUGACAACUUGAAAAGAACAUGUGGGCUGCAAGUAACGAUACAAGGUCCCCAUUUCGGCCUCAUAUGUCAUUCUCAAUAUAAGGCCCCCAUUGUCAGUUUGAUAAAUCUCGUGGUACUAAAUCGCCAAGGUAAAUCCAAUAUCUUUGGGCUGAAUCACAUAAGGCCCAAUACUGGAGAACUCUCAAUCGGAAUUUGAUUCUUGCGGUAUUUACAGGUGCUUUAUAAUUUAUCGUCAACAUAUAGAUAGAUAGGCACAAGAAGAAUCUGUUGUCGAACAUUUUGAUCCAAAUUUGGAGGAACAUUCUUUUCCUCGUAGCAAAUUGAUUUUAUCGUGGCAGGGAAUGGAAAACUUUUUUGGCACUUUUAUUAGCAUAAAUUAGAUAACAUUUUGUAAAGUUUGCCAUAAUUAGAUUGGCCUUGUUGUUCUCUGUUGUUUCAGAUUUUACAAAAUCUGAUUUUAGAAAAUAAUCAGAAUCAGCAAAUGCUACUAUUUAGGUGACGAUAGAUUUUAACAUUUUCUAUUAUUAAAAAAUCUAUAAUCAGAAUACAAAAACAACCGAAAUAUCACAAAAAUUAAUUAUCCAAAAUCAAAAUUUAUAAUCAGUCAAAAUAAUCAAUGAAGAACAAGCCCAUAGUAUAUCUCUUUUCCUGCUUGCCCUCCUGGCUUUUCUAAUCCAAAUUCUGCCCUGCAAGAAAAAUAUCUCGUUUGAUUUCUGUGGUUAUAUGGCGUAUUUCACUAUUUAAACUUGCACACCACAUCACAUAAAAUUUUCCUAGAAAUUGACCCCAACGAACAAACUUUUCCUCAGACUUCAAAGUGACGCUCAUGCAUUUUCUAGAGCGGCGAGAUUAUUAGAACUCAACAGCUACAGGGAAUUAUUUUUUAAGAAUAAUGAUAAUAACAUGAGAAAAAAAAAUAGUUGGAGAGACAGCUCGAAUCGUUCAAAAUCUUAUAUCACUUAGACCCUGUUUGAUAACUCAAUUCAGCAUUUAAAUUUAAUGGAUUCAGAUCUUAAAAUAUAUUCAGACCAUUUUUAUAAUCAAAAAUUGAACAUCUGAAUUAAUUAAGUUGUACUGAAUUUUCUAGGCAAAACUUAUUCCCAAAAUUAAGUGAUAAGUUAUUCACUUAUCAUUGAAUGUGAUAUGCAUUCAAAUAUAUUAGAUUUAAUAUUGAACAAUUUAAUAAUUUAAUGGAUUCAUACUUCAUAUUUCAGAUUUUAGAUUUUAGUUUUGUCAAGCGCACCCUUAGUUCUUUUUUCUGUUUUGCUCAUCACUUUUCUCUUAUAAAAGCUUCCAUUAGGAUGACUAUUCGGUUUAUGGUCAAUUGAUUCGAGUAAACAAGUGGAAAAUGACUAGAUAUAGUGAUAAUUGCAAAUUAUUUAAUAUAAAGAAAGUAAAAAGAGUUAUACGAGCUGUUCUAAAUUUCAUACUUUAUAGGACAAUUAUACCAUUAACUUGCACUAUGUUUUGAAUAUAGAAUAGCAUCCUGAUAUGGAGAUUUGUUUUAAUUCAUUUUAAUGAAAAAAAAAAAUCUGAAGUAUUCGUUGACAAAACGAGUUCUUUAUCAUAAGCAUGGCAGCUGAUGGCACAUACGUAUAUUAUAGGGCUGAGACUAGAGGUUUCCAGCUAUGUUUGAAGCAAUAGGCGUUCAUGUCUGCGCACCUCAGUUGAAUUCCAGCAACCUUCUAUUUUGUGUAUUUUACUUUUGAUGGUUCGUCAAAUUAUCAAAAGAUGAAAAGAUACAAGUUUAUUACAAUAAAUUUUCACCUACAGAUGCUAUCGUUUUUUUUUUUUUUUAUUUCUAAAUGUAUAUAAAGUUACCCCAAAAUGUACGUCUAAUUGAUACAUUAUUGACUCCUAAUUACAAAUCGCAACUAGAAGAGUAAAAUGCACGACGAGGCUAAACACAUCAUCUAAUGAGAUGACAGAAGCCGGCCCUUAAUGAGCUAAGCAAAGAUGCAUGCUCAAAAUGAUAUGUUCUAGAGUUGACCUAAACAUGUCUGAUUUAUCGUACGUGCCCCAAAAUUUGCAUGCACUGAUAAUUUAUCUGAUGCUUAACCACCUUGGCGCAUGCUAAACUCUCAUAGUUGACUUCAUAUUCGACCUAACUCAUCUCUGUGCCUGCGUGCUUGUCUGUGCAACAUUAAUUACUCAUCUUGCCCACCAAAAAAAAACAAGAAGAAGACUGUAUGCCAUGAAAUUAACAGAAGAAUGUUACUGGACAAAAAAAAAAAAAAAAAAAGAGGAUAACUCAAUAUUAAGAUGCGAGGAUUUGUACGGAUAAAAAUGAGAGAACCAAUUAUUGCAGCCGUUUGGAUAUCAAAUUUUUUUCAAAUGAUAUUUCGCUUACAUUAUAAACAUAUUUUCCAACCUAUCUUUUAUAUUUUUAAAGAAAUAUUAAUUUUUUUCCAUCACAGACCAGUUCCUGGACGGGGGUCUUAGUUCUUGAGCAUGUUAGUGGACGAGGCAACAGUUGAAUGGCCUACUCGAAAGUUCGAAGAACAAGCGAAAAAAACCCUAAUUAUAUUUUAUUCUCUAUUUUUAAGAUUUUUUCUUCCUUGCUACUCAAGUGGUAAUUGUCGUCAAGAGUUUCUUGGAAUGAGGCUUGAGACGACUAUGGGGACGACAUGCAGCAUUUACGUAUCCAUCCUUAGACACACACUAUUUUUUGUAUAAAGGUCCAGUGAAUUCUCAGAAUCUGUAUUAGCCUUUGAUUAGGUUUUACGGUGCAACAAUAGAUCAAUAUACUUAAUCUUAAGUUUCGCCCGGUAAUUUCUUUCCUCUCUUUAAAAGAUCUAGAACACUGGAAGAAAUUAAAUAUGGCAAAAACAAAGACGUACGAUUUAAGGCAAGACCGAACACGUUUGCUUGGGGAAUCGGGCUGCUUCCUGGAAUGAUAUACCUCUUAGUUGCCAUGGAAUAGAAUAUAUGCAGAUACAAAUUGAAGGAAUUUAUAUUACGAGCUAGCUUAUGAUGUAUCCUUCCUUGUGUUUCUGUCUGACAUUUUCUUCCUAGCUUUUGGUUCUUUUCUCUUAUACUUAAUUUUCGUCCAGUGCAUAAGCCAAGAGAUAAAGAAAUGAAAGAGGAAGCCCAUUAUAAACUAGAUAGGCUAUUAAACUUGUUUUACGAUAAAGUAUUGUAGAUAGCAAGUAGGAUGCAAGAACUGUGAUAAUGGAACAUAUUCUUUUCCAAGACAUAUGGAACCUGACCACAACUAAUCCAGAAAUUGUCUUCACACAAACAAAAGCUCCGUUGCUUCUCCGGUCAUUCUCAGAAUUACAGAAUCCAAGUGAUGCAAGAGUUCUCAAACAACGUUCACAUUCCGAAUUCGUGGUUCAUUUACCUUUUGUUUUGGUGCUAUUUAAAUUCUCUUACCACAUGCAGAAUUCGCACAUGAUUAAAUGAACAGUUUCGAUUGUGAUCGAUCUUUGCAAGAAUAACGCAGAGACUCUAAAGAAUAUUUGAAUGUAAGGCCCCAUUCCAUUUCAAGAGUCUCUUAUUGAACUCAAGGAAAAGAAAAGCUUAAUGUGCAAAUCUUAACUCAUAAGCUAUCAAAUAAUUUGGAUUAAUCAUUUUGAACCCGUAAUUUUGUUCCAAAGUCCGUGAACAUGUAUUGGCACGUUUUUCUGGGCUAUUAAUUCUCUUGUUGGGUGGCAGGUGAUUCUUGUUCCGUGGUUACUUGUACUCCCUCUCUUUUUUUAUAACUGACGUUUAAGAAAUUUGCUGUAGUGUACUUUUAUCUGUCAUUUUAUUAUUUUCAUACAGUAUUAAUUAUUUUUUCACAAUUUUACCCUUUUAUUUCUCUUUUCCAAUACAGGGUUCUUAAUUACUACUCCUAGUAAUUAUUGCUUCUCUUUUUGCAACAAUCCUAGUAAUUAUCUGCCCCAUUUAGUGCUCUAGUGAGAGAAAAUAUGGGUGAAUUGGACAAUUAAUAAAGGUACAAAAGGAAAAUAGUGUACAGAUUUAAGUAAUAAACAAUUUUUCUUAAUUGGUGUGCAAAACUUUAAACGUCAGUUAUAAAAAAAGGGACGGAAUAUCUUCUAGUAUUGUGUGCGUAAGAGAAACAACGUUGUUGUUAACAUCAAUAAUACGGUUGUGAUCCUCGAAAUAUGUGUUUCUUUCAUCAGCCCUUGUUAUAUCGUCAGAGUACAAGCAACUCAUUUUUCACAAGCUUAACACAAGAAAAAUUGAAGGAUAAUAAAACAUAUAUAAAAUCCAAAAGUUACAUAGCACUAGGAAACACUAGUUAAUUUUAACCCUUCUACUUCUCGCUACUCCAAAAGUGGUUCCAAGACAGCUAAAAUCCCACGCUCGGAAGUGCCAUUCUUCUAAAAUAAAAGGACAAUAAGAAACUUUGCAAUCUCGUAAUUGAGCAGCAAUGGACAGCCAACCUAAAAUUAACAACCAUUAUCCAAACUAAGCAGACCCCACACACGGGCAGGACACCACCGCACCACCACCUACAGGUCCAAUCCCCACCACCUCCGCCCCUUCCUCCGCCACUUCCUCCCAGCAAUGCAAAACAGAUUUCGGGGUCCCCACUCUACACUCCUCUUUUCCUCCCCUGGAGGCGGCAAAACACCGGUAGAACACACAGCCGCCACCUGGCAACUCUUGUCUCACCCCAGUCUCACACCUGUACCCCUCCACGUCACCACCCCAGAACUCGAGGUGCUCCUCCCCACAUCUGUCGCCACCUCCCAAGCACGUGACAGCGACACUGAACUCAGCUGGUCCGAAACACCUCAGCACCCUAUUCACCAACGAUCCCAACCCGCCCAGAUUCUCCGACCCGAAGUCCAAACCCAUCGAUUCAUAGCUGGCGUAGCUGAACCCAGCCUCCGGGGUCACGUGCACGGUAGAAUAAGCUGAGCCCUCAAUCCCAUUCAUGGAGUACCCGCAUGGCUCAAAUUCGUAGUCGCAUACCAAGUGACUUGGAAUUAUCUCAGAAAUCCCGGACAUUUUCGUCAUUUGAUUGUAUCCAUCCGAUGUUUUGAAAAACACGGCGGCUUUUUCCCCGUCCAAGCCCGUCAUGCACAUCUCCAAAUUAAACACGGGCUUCGGAUAGUCGGACUUUAGCGGGCCCACCUGUGCCACGUAGACAUGCCAGUUGCGAUUCUGAAAGUUCGGAUCGGAGAGGACGUAGCCACUCCCGUCUUUGAAGUAAGCGUUCAAGAAGGCCACCUCUUCAGAAAAGGUGCGGUGAGGGGCAGGUUGGGCAUUCUGGAAAACGAAGGUCCCACGCGAGUACUUAACCGAGUUGACACCGAGUGAGAGCGAGUCGGCAAGUUUCAGGAUUGGUGGGAUGGACAGGAGCAAUUUGGUGGUGCCACACGUUUUGAGGAUGAUUUUGAAAGGGAAAACGAACAAGCUCGACUCGGAGAGCACGUACGAGUCAAACUCAGCGUUGGAUAGCUGGGAAACUAUAGUGCAACAAGCGGGCUCGAGAAUGGAGUCCAGUUGAGACCGAGUCAGGGCCCGAAGGCCCUGCCCAUUCGGAUCUCUGAACACGGGUGGCUCCGAGAAUGCGAUUUCCAGGCGUUUCUCAAAGCCUUCGAAACCAAUAGCUGAAACAGCCAUUUUGAGAAUAUCCCACAAAAAGCAGGCGCCAAAAUGCAAAUAACGAAAGUUUGAUGCGACCUUAAUUCUCUAAGCAAGGCUGAUGGAUGGCUAAAAACUCCUAAAACUUUUGAAGAAAAUUCCCUACUCUACUGAAGCGUCCAUCGUCUAACGAAAAAGAGAUCAGGAUGGUUGCCUCACGCACUGCAACAAAAUCAAGAAACAAAAGGAUUACGCAAAAACAUUUAACAAACAAUUUGCAUAGGUAAAACGCAUUAUGAUAGUUGAUUGAUUUUAGUACAAGUACUGACGUUGGAAUAAGCAGCAGAUCGGAAUUUCUCGUUGCCGCCGUGGGGACGAACGUCUUCAAUGAUGUAAUCAAGGGGGGCUUCGUAUUGGGUUCUAGCUCUAAUACUAGAAGACUUUUUCUUGUCACCACCUUUGGUCUCCAUUACAACAUUAAACCUCCCUGGAAAAAAAAUUUUUUUUGUUUUUUGCAAGAAUAAGGGUCCAGUUGGAAUCAAGAAAUCUGGAUUUUGUGAAUGCUAGAGAAAUUAGAUAGCUAGAUAUGGACCUUCUAGCCAUGCAUCAAUAUAUUUAUACAGGGAAGAAAGCCCAUGAUUUAGGGAACUUACGUUAAAGUUUGGAGAAUCAAACAAAAGAGAAGUGAAUAGCGACCGCCUUGAAAUGAGCUAAGCUCUUCUUUUAUCUCUUUGCUUUUGGUGCUUAUGAUUGUAAUGUCGUAUGGGAAAGGAAGAAGAGCAGGAUUGGGAUUUGUGCUUUGUUGAGAGCAAGAGAGAAGGGUAGGGACUCUCUGGAUUGUGGAGUAGAGACGAAACCGGGAGCCAAAACGAGGAAGACAAGCACGAAAAUAAGCGGUAGUAAUAUCAGGGGUGAGUGGUUUUGGUUUGGGGAGAGUGAACGGAUGCAAAACUAUUUAUAAUGGCUGGCUGGGCAUCACAAGAGCACGGCGAACAAACAAAAAGCCCGGCCCCGAGAUCAGGGGUGCUGGUUUUUUUUUUUUCUUUUGUUUUCUGAAUUUGGUUUGGUAUUCCUUUUCUAUUCUUAUUCUAAUCUUUUUGGGAUAAUUGGAUUUUGUUUAAUUGAUUAAUAUAUAAUAACACUUUCUUGAAAUGUAUACAUUAUACACUAAUAAAAUUAAAUAACGCGUUAUUAUGUGUAAAUUUUAAAAUUUAUUAUAGUCUAAAUUCUAAAAUUUAAAUUUUAAAAUUUAUAUUUAUAUAUAUGUGUGUGUAUAUAUAUUUAGUCCGUUAAUAUAAUAUAUAUAAAUAUAAAAAGAAAUUAAGGUCAUGCUUGGAUUGCUUGUUUCCGUCGAAAAAUAUUAUCAUUUUCCGUGAUCACAUUUUCCUAUCACCUUUUUCUCUUACAUAUAUCAAAUCGUUACAAUAAUUUUUUCAUGAAAAAUGACGGAAAAUGCAAUCCAAACACAACUUAAUUCUUCGUAUAUAGAUUGACAAAGGCAGAGAAUUGGGGCUCCUUUUGCUAGCUAGGGCGAGCAUCUCAAGGCAUACAGGCUUGUAGACCUCUGGUGAAGAAAAUAAAGAAGACGGUAGAGAAAGAGAAGAUUAGUUUGAAAAAAAAAAUUUUUUAAGGCUUAAUUUUUAGUUGUAUUCUUGUCUCUUUGUAUACUAGCCCAUAGAUUUCUGUUCCUAGGCAUGCGUGGAGGAUUUUUUAUAGGGAGGAAUAUGCCCGGCAGAGGGUAUCUAUAUUUGUUCAAAGCCACACCAAGUAUACGUUUUCGUAUUGAAUGUUUUUUUCAAAGAAAAAAGGUACUGAAUUCUUGAUUUGAAAGAGAAAUUAAAAUUGGCCAUAGGAAAAUUUAUAGAGUCAACGUGCAGCAGCUAUACAAAUGUAUUGCUAGAUAUAUAUAUAUAUACAAGUCAAAAUUUAUGAAGGUUUUCUACAUUCAAUUGUGUUCUUUUCUUUCUUAUUUUGGUUUUUCUUUUGUCAAAAUUUAUGAUCCAAUGUUCUUGCUUCAUUCAUUUGACCCAACAAAUAUUUUUUUUUUUUCAAAACUAUAUGUUAUUGAGGAGCUCUAGGCGUUAAUUCCAAUUGAAGACCUUAUAAUUUUAAACAACAAUUAAAGCCUCGACAAAGUGAUUUGCUUGCAAGACUAAAAUGAGGAUCAGCAACUUAGCAAAAUACCUUAAUUAAAGGACACGUAUCAAUUAUCCGAAUAAUAAACUGACACGUGUGUGUUUAUCAGGUGGUAAAAAAUGAAAACGCGAGUCGCUCAGCACAAUUAAAUAAUGGAGGUUAAUCUCCAACGAUACAUCACUCGAGAUCUAGAGGUCGAGGUCUUUGGAUUACAUGUUGCACUGUAGCAAAACCCACUAUGAAGCAUGCAAACAUGAUUCAAUUUAAGGAAAAAGAUUGUGUGUAGGAGUCCCGCCAGGGAAGAAAGUUCCAUUCUUUUCUUUUCAGGUCAAAGACCAACUAGAUCGAGACUAGUCUCACAGUGAAUCAACCCAACUGAGACACUUCAUGCAUCAUUGAUCCAGAGCUGCAUAUUUACAACUAACAACCUCAAGGGGAGGAUUAGGUUAAGUAGUAAGAUGGGAGAGACUGUAAGUAAGAAAUCUUGAUUUCAAAACCCUCUUGAUUUAAUUGAAAUUUGAAAUCCGAUCCUCUUGGUUUAAUUGCAUCUGCCAUGCAUGCACUUAGAUCCAUUACUCCUUCAUAAGAAGGAGGAUGGGCAAGUAAAGCAAACGAAACUUUCGUUGGCAAUGAUGGUCAAUAAUUGUUAUCUUUCCAAAUGUAAGACAAGCAAAGUUUGAUCAGAAGGGCGUCUAAUGAUAUAGUAAAGUAGUGACUAGUCACUAGUUUGAUAUUUAAAACACGCAUGCUUUGCUCAGCUAUUAAACAAAGUUUCCGGCGACAUGUUGAAUUCAUCAUGGGGGAAAACUUGUGAUAAUUCGACUAUAUUUAGACCCCCCGUCCAGACCAAAUUAAUCGACAAUAUUUUUAUUUAACCCUAAUGAACAUCGAUCACAAUUUCAUUAGAUCUACACUAAUAGCAAAGUUACAUCACUAGUCGCGCGCGGAAAUGAUCUUGAGAUGAGGCCAACACUAGUGAGACCAAAACAACAAAUUCAGAUUGCAUCCUUUUUCGUGGGAUUGCUACCUGAAGAAGCGCAGAGCUUCCCCCGUGGAGGCCAAUUAUGUGUUUUGUCCGCCCCAGCAUCAGGUGCGUGGAGGGGGGCCUCCCCAAGAUUCGAACCCUGGUCCUUGUGUAUAAGGGUCUUGGGGUUGAAGUCCUGGUACCACUUGGGCCUGGACAAGUGGCAGCCCAGGCUUGGCCGAGCUAGGCCUCGGCCCCAGGCCCCUGGCGGUCGUCCUGGGUCGCGCUGCUAGGGCACCUAAAGGGGGCAAGGAUCCACCCCGAAGAGGUCGAGGACGAUCCCCCUGAAUGCGGGAUAGGGGGCUAUUCUGGGCAGGUCCCGGAACGUGUGGAGGUCGGACUCCCCUAGCAGGUAUAAAAGGUAACACACAUCGACUGUACAAGGGACGCUCACUAUUGGCAAAUUACUUCCGGUUGUUCCUACUUCCCGUGAACUCUACUCACCGGAAAACUAACUUGACCGUCGGAGUGGCCUCGGGGACAACCCUCGGGCCCCCUCUUCUGGUUCAUUCCUGUUUGUUUUGCAGGCUGAGAACCAGCUCUUUCAUCAGCACCCCGAGCUAGUCGAAUCAGCUCGGUCCGGGGAAGCUCGGCGCUUCUUCACUGCCAAAUUAUGCAGAAACAACAGAAUAUACUUUUUUUUUUUUUUCUAAUCUCUCUUAUGACAAAGUUUGAUCAGAAAAGCUAAUAAUUUGUCUCCUUUAGUCUGCAGUUUGUAUUUAAUAUCCUAGUUGCUAAAAUCAUUGCUCAUCCCAUGGCUUUAUUCUAUAAAUUCGUUUGUCUUAUGCGUCUAGGUCAAUGGCUAGUACAUGGAUUCCAUGUUUUUCAAGAAUAAUGGGACUGGCGCAUAAUCUCAUUAUUAAGGUUGACAACUAGCAACCACGUAAUUAAAUUAGUCCCUGAAUUUUUAAUUGCCUGUGCAUCCUUCUGCUGUUAGCCUGAGCUUUAUCCAAUAAGAAAAGAAAAAAUGAAAAUCUAGAUUAUCUCAAUGAUCUCUCAUCAACUCUGUUCAUGCCAAGUUUUAAAAUAUCAUGAUUUUACGUAAGCCAGUCUAAAAACACUCCUCUAAAUUGUACUUUUCAUUGAAAAGAGGUCGUGAAGGAGUGAUCAUGAAGGUAUUUUUAAAAAUUUCUCUCUUUUUUUUUUUCAAAAUCCUUCGAGUACUACAUUGGCAGAAGAAGAAGUUAGCAGUGCAUAUAAAUUAAAACUCCAAAGCUUGGAGGCGUAGGUUCAAAUUCUCCCUUUUCUCUCCCUACUUCUUAAAUCCCGCCCCUCUUGUACCAGAAAAGUUCAGGGGCCGGAAGAUUUCCAAUUCUUAAUGCUGACUUCAAUUUUAUGAUGAAAAUGUGAAGGAUAUGUGUACAAUAUGACAGGUUCCAGUAAGCCGGCAAAAAUGUAUAGUUGUCGGUGGCGCAUGCCGCGGAUAGAGCGUGAUGACUGUCCCCAUUACAUUGUGCAUGCACAAAAUAUAAAGAAUCAACCUUUCAAUGCCCUUCAGUCGAUCUCAGCGGAAUUGAAUGCAUAAAGCAUUAUUAUUGUUUUUUGCCGCAAAGUAGAAGAAUCGGUCCCGAUUCAUUUAGUCUUAUCUUCGUGAUACAUAUGUGAAUGUGUGCUAACAUGUCAAAGCUUUGAUUCUUCAUUCUCUGAUUAAAUAAUUGUGCGUACAAAACUAACCAGAGAUCGAUGUGCCGUGCCGGUUUCUCUGAAUUUUCAACCGAAAUUAUUUAAUUGUUCGGUUAAGAUUUAUUGCCCCAAAAGGGAAACAAUUUUUUUUUUUUUUUUUGAGAAAAAAAAAAGGGAACAGUUGAGUGAUGGCUUUUAGCUUUGCUAAUAUUAUAACUUAUCAUUCCAACAGGUUGUGGCUGGUGCCUCAACACAGCUUUUCUCUCCCAAUCACAUGUAUACUCUCUACCUUUCUUUGUGCCUCUUUUCUUUUCUCUUCUUUUCUUUUUUGAAACUGCUGAUUCAGGAGGCAAUCGACGCGAACUCAAGAAUAAGAUGGUUGUAGUGCUAUUAAUUCCUUGGCGUUAGGUACUUUUCUUUUCUGGGCUGUUUUAAUGGGUCCUCGAUCUGAGCUCCGAAUUUCAGAAUAACUUCCUUUCUAAGCAAGUCUCUUCCAUUUAACAUUAAAAAAAAAACCCCCCAUUUAUUUUCAAGAAUCUCCUGGUUCAACAAAUUGUUGGGCUGAAGAAGAACGCCUUUUGGAAAGUAGAUGGAGGCCCAUAAAGAGAAAGGUUUUGGGUCACUUCGAAUUGGAAAGUACAUGGGUAACAUAUCCAAGUCACGAACACUAAAUAGUAUUCGAGAACUUGUUGGAUUAAGGUCCUUGGUUUUGUGGGCUCUUACUCUAUUUAGAAUCCGGAACGAUUAAAUUUUGAUGAUCUCCCACUUAUAUUUUACAAAGUGAAAAAGGAAGAUGCUGCGCGUAAUUCUGGGUGGAGGAUUUCGUUUUGGUCUGUGACAUGUGGCUUGGUGAUUUUCGGCAGCAAUUUAGACCACCCCAGAACUAGGGGUGCAAACUCCGGGGUUUUGUUGGAGAUGCAAGCAAGGAAACUGGUAUCCAUCAUCAGAUCCAAAAUGGAGAAAAAAAAAAAACAAUUUUUUAUGCGUUCUGAUGAACGCAUAAAUCGGAUUUUAUAUUAUCUACAUGCACACUUUGGAACUUGGAUGGAUAUUUGUUUUGAUAAGGUUUGGAUUUAUGACGUGCGUGUAAUGAUAUCUAAUGAACUUCUUAUACGAGAUUUGCUUCUUAAAUAUCCACACACAAUCCUAAACCAAAAUACUCAUAGUAUACUUGCGUCCACAACAGAUUAAUUUCUACAGUCACACUUCCUGGUUUCUAGAUAGUAGGAUCUAAGGCCGAAAGAUGAACCAAAUUAUUCUAUAGUUGAAUGGAGUUCGACUUGGUAAUAGUUCGUUCAAUUUUAGUUCGCUAACUGGUCAAGUUGUAUUUGAACUGUUAAAUUAUUCUAUAUUUGAAUGGAAUUCGAUUUGGUAAGAGUUUGUUCGAGGUUAGUUUGCUAAUUAGUUAAAUUAAACUUGAACUGUUUUUCGUGUUCCAUAAAGUUCAAAUUUGAUAGAAAUCUUAUUCAAACUUGAUUCGACAACUAAACAAACCAAAUUUGAACAAAAUUUUAAACUUGUUAAAAUAAUCAAACAAGGUCGAAAGAACACUAGAGUGCUUGACUUGAUUACAGUUCGUUCGUUCACACCCCUAAUAGGAUUCAUAAUAUUUGCAAGGUUAGUACAAUUAUUAUUCCGUGAUAAAAGGGUAGUGUAAGAAUCAAUGAACCAGCAACUAGAAUGCAGAAGAUUUGACAUUCGGUUUGAUUCGGUUUGACAUUCUUUAAUUGUACUUAGAAAUUAGAAUGUGGUCAUCAUGGCAAGAAGUGGUGUUUUGACCUACUCGUAGAAAUGAUUCGGGCUGCUGUUAGCUAUAAAUUAUGACGCAAUAAAUAUUUCAUCCGUGAGAGCAAGAAUACGAAGUGGUGCUAUCCUGUUCUUUCAACUUUUACAUCAGUAAAAUCAAAAAAAAAAAAAUUCAAAAUUGGAAAAGCCAACAUAAAAUUUUGUAAUGUGACUACUCAAAUUUUGAUAAAUUUGGACAAGCUAUAUAAUCAAUUGUGUUUUUUUUUUAAUAAAAAAAAAAUCAUCAUUUCAUUAAAUUUCUACUAAUUACAGAAAUUACAUCAACCAUACACAGUUAUAUAAUCAAUUGUUUGUCAAAUCUCUUCUGGGACUAAUUAUUUUUGACAAGCAAAGAUGAUCAAGAAAUGGCAGAAGCAUAGCAUAAUUUAGGAAGUUUCCUAGCAACAAAUGAAGAUAAAACAUGUAGCCAAAGGAUAAGAAUAUAUUGGGUGUCCAUCCAAAGGGAAAAAGUAAACAAAUAAAAAGAAGAGGAAAUUAUUGAAAAAGGAUUGGAACCUUUUACUUUUGGCCACAUUUCUACUAGCUUUGCGGCUUUAUGUUGAUGGCUUUUGCCUUCCCAAUUCGAGCACUACCAAAAGCCUACAAACACCCAACGUGGAAGAAUCAAUGCCAACGCAUGGAAGAAAAAACGCACUCCCAUAAAGAUUUGCAUUUGCCAAUUCCCCGUAGAUACACUUGCAUUGCAUCCCUUUUGUUCGCCAUUAUCUUAUAAUAUUUCUUUGAUUACUUAAAUAUAAUAUAUCACGUACACACAAAUCUCCAUGAAAAGUUUGUAUGGUUGAGAAAAAAAAAAAUGUGUGAGAAAGCCUUCACCCUUGUCCCUCUCUUUCUUUCUUUCUUUCUUUUUUUUUCUAUGAUUUUGCAAUGAAACUAGUCCUAAAAGAAAGGGUUCUAAAGAGGAAGAAUAUGAUUGGCAAAAAUUUCCAAGAAAGGGUACGAUUUCCACCUUUUAGAAACCUCUAUACAUACGGCUGUUUCCUAAUGGGAGUCAAAGAAAUUCAUUCGAUUUUCAACAAUUGCCUCAUAUAUGAUAUCAAGUAUUGAUGGCAAUAUCAUGGGAUUUUUUUUUUUUUUUUUGUUUUAGUUCUGAUGAGUUUAGAGCCUUCUUAGGUAGUAAAAUUUGUAGAAAUUUUCAUUGCAAAUUGUAAAUCAUUAUAAUUUGCAGUGAAAUCAUAAAGCAAGGGAAAAUGGCAUUAUUACAUUCUUGUACACAAGCAGUCGUCCGCGUUGGAUGUUCAGAGCUGAAGCAAAAAGAAAAAUCAUGGCAAAAUCUAGAUUCAUGUUCUUGGAAAGAAUUUGAAGAUGGUAAAUAGUGAAUAUUGGCUCCAGUUUCAUCACUCGAAUGAUGAAACACGCACGGCUUGUAACUUAUGAUGAUUGAUCGAGCAACCUUUUUACUGUAAAAUUGCAGCUUGCUCAUCAUGCUCACCGGACCAGGGGCUUCUAUCGUCACAAGAAUGCGCAGUUGAUGAUGGAGAUGGGAUGUUUCGAAAUUAGAUGGUAUGGUGGAGAUUAAAUAUAGAACAUCAUCAAUUUUAACGCGUCAAAAAAAUUUAUUUAUUAUAUCAUCAUCGUAUCAUACGCAUUAAUUGUGCUACUGUCUACACUACUGUGCCGUGCAGUCUCUGUUGAUGAUAGCAGAAACCCUCUACCGUGCUAACUAACACUGAAUCAAGCCGCGGGCUGAGUGUUCUGCUGCCUUGCCUCGAAAUAUGAUGGGUAAUGGCAUCUCUGUCUUGAACCCCCCCCUCCCCCCAGUCCAACACCCUCUGGGUCUGGGGUUUCUUUCCUGAUAAGAAGCAUCUUACAGACCUCAUAAAAGAAGGGUUUUUACGUUAUUCUUUUCCGGACUGUGCGAGGCACAAAAGCAAUUGUUUGCUUAUCAGUCAUCAUGCGUUUCUUUUCUCCCACAGUAUCUCCACUGAUAAUAAUAUAUAUUUCUUUAUGCCAAAAUGCCGUAACGCUCGCAUACUAAUUUUACACCAUGAAGGGAGUAGUUAAGUGCAAAGGUUCACGCCCUAAAAGGGUUAAUUUUAAUGUGCAUCCUUCAACUAUAUUCAAAAUUUUACUUAGGUCCUUAAACUUUAAAGUAGGAUAUUUUAAUUUCGAAAAUAUAAAAUCAGUCCAAUUUUAAUUCUUAAAGUAUAAAAAAAAAGUCGCACUUUAAUUCCUGAAGUAUAAAAUUUGUCUCACUUUAGCUUUUAAAGUAUAAAAUCUGUUCGACUUAUAUAUUAAAAUUUAUCUCAUUUUUGCCAAUGAUUUUAUUUAAGUGAGAUAACUAUUAUAUUCAUUUUGAAUUUUAGCUAGAGACCCAAGUAAGAAUUAAUCCUGCUUUAAAUCUGUCCAUAAUAAUUUACACCAUGAAGGUGGUAGUUAAGUGGUUAAGGUUCAUGCUUUGAAGCUCUCUUUCUGCGCAGUCGUGUUAGUAGGUGAGCAAACCAAAUGUUGUUGAAGGAAAUAGAUUAGUUUGGAAAACUCAAAAAAGAAAAAAAAAAUGUUUGAGUGCUAGACUAACUCCUUUUAAGUCAAGUAACUAUGGUUCAAACUAUUGUGGAUGAAGGUUAUCAGGAUCACACUUAAAAGGCAGUUAACUAGGGCCUCAUUUGGUAUAUGAGUUUUUUUGGAAAUUUGUCUAAAACUUUACUGUAAUACACUGUAGAAGUUUUUGGAAAAAUUUUUUAAAAUGAUUUUUUUUUCCUUUUCUUUUUUUGUUCUUUCUUUUUCUCUUGCCUUUUCUUUCUUUCCGUUUUCUUUUCUUUCAUCUUUUCUUCUUCUUCUUCCUUCCCCCUCCCCCGCCACCUCUGCCUCCGACGUUGAAGAACCAGCAGCCAUAGUCCAAAUUUUUUUUUCUUUUUCUCUUCCCUUCUUCUCCCUCUCUGCUUCCCUCUCUCCCUCUACUCCCCAUCACCCCUCCCCCCCUCUCCCUCCCAAUGCUAGAGAACUUGCAGCCAUGGUUUUUUCUCUUUUUUUUUUAUUUUUUGCUUGUUCUCUCUCCCUCUCCUCCCCUUCCCCCUCCACCUUUGCCCAAUCUGGUCGCGUGACCAAAUCGUAGCUAGGGGAAGGGGAAUGGGGAGGGGGGAGGGGGCAAAAAAAAAAGAAAAAAAAGAAAAGAGAGGGGAGCACCAACAGAUCGGUCUAAGGGGGAAAGAGAGAGGGAGAAAGGAAAAAAAAAAAAAGCCGGUGCCGGAAGCAGUGGUGGAGGUGGUGGCUAGCAAUGAAGGUGUGAUGGAUCGGGAUGAGGGAGAAAGAAGAAAAAAAGAGGAAGUUUUUUGUGUAUUAGGGGGAGGAGUGGGGGAGAGAGAGAGGGAGGAAACAAAGGUGGAUCAAAUUGGGCCAAGGGGAGGAUGGCGCGGACGAAGAGGGAAAGAGGGAGAAAGGAAAAAAAAAAAAAAACCAGCAUCGAAAGAGGUGAUCGGCGCUGGAACCGGCGGCGGAGGUGGUGGUGGGUUGGGGUGGGGAAGGAAGAAGAAGAAUAGAGGAAGGGAAUUUUUUUUUUUUUUGUGCUUUGAAUAUUUUGAAGUGUGUAGACAAAUUUUUUUUAGAUUAUUGUAGUUAAAGUUGAUAAAAAAUUACUAUAAGAUAAACUUGAAUAAAAAUUUAAGUUCCAAACAGGCCUUGGUUAGAUAGACAUUUCCAGCCUUUCUUUCAGCCAAAAAUCAUAAAAGAAAUUUAAUACAAGGCCCCAACUAUGUCAUGUACAAGUAAAGAUUUAGGGCUACCAGCCUUCCAACACCCAUAAGAACAAUUUGUUGUAAAAAUUCCUUGUCAGAGUCUUGAAUUUAGCAAGUAUGCCAUUUGGCAACCAACUUAGUUGACCAGACAGAUAUUCCAUAAUCAUCACCACCAUGGAUAUGGAAUUGGUCCAAUUGGAGAUUAGGAGGAAUCUUUGCAUGCCAAAAUCUUUCUGUCCACAACCCCAUUGAAGGAAAAAACCUAAGGGAUCAGAGAUUUGGAUUGGACUCAAGGAAAGAACUACAAGUGGUAAAUUGAACCAAGAACUCUUACUUCCAUUAAUAACUUGAAAAGCAUCACAAACAGCUACCACAAUAAUGGAAUUGGAGAACAUCGCAUUAAAGCAACGUCCAGUCUUAUCUCAGAUAGACUAUCAAAAGGAACAAAGGAAAUGGCCUACCCCCCCCCCCCCAAAAUAUUUUCUUUUUCCUUGCGUUUCUUGCAAUGCUUCUCCUGCUCUGAUGUUUGGUCUAAAACACGCAAUUAUUUCCAACUCAAAACAAGAGAGAUGCAGAUACAAGGAGGUUCAAAGGGCAAAGGUUGCCUGUCCUCUUAGUGCCUACUAGUUUUGCAGCAGUAGCCGUAGCAGCAGGCUAGGACUUUGCAGCAGCUGUGAAUUUUGUGAUAGGAACUAUAUAGGAAACGAGAAUAUAGAGCACUGUGGUGUGUUCAUUGCAUUGCAUUUCUUUGCAUCCAAUCCUUUGCUGUCACUCUCAAAUUUUGAGCUUCAUGCCUCUCUUUUCUUUUCCUCACUUUCACUGACAUUCCGUAUCAAGUCAUCUCCAUCUGAUUCUCGUCUCUUUCCUUCUUUUUCCUCUCUCUCUCUCUCUCACAUAGUCACACAUUGAACGCACUUUGCCAAAGGGAAAUUUAAGGUACAAAAAAAAAUAGAAAAGGGAACAAAAUGAGAACACUAACUUCGCAAAAACUUGUAAUAUUCCCCCACCCCAAAUAUUAAAAUGACAAAAAAGAAAGAAAAAACAACAUAGCAGAUUUAUAUUUUUCAAGGUCAGAGAAUGUCCUAAAUGCAAGAUUUGCUGUACUAUUUACAAAUUCUGUCAAAGAUUGCUGAUAGCGCAAUUCAAGCCUAAGCCUAAGCUUGUGCUCAACUAACAUUCAGUGGCAAAUAGAAGAAAGACACGUACAUUAAGGCUCCCGCUAAGCUAAAGUACAGAGAAAAAGUGGAACAAAACAGUACAUAAAAUUUUGCAACUGCAAACCUAUCCAUUCCAUGUAAUCAAAAUGGAAAAAGCAACAAAAUAGCAUGCUCAGCUCAGAUGCAUUAAAACAUACCCAACACCCCACACUAUACUAUCUGCAAGUGACUAGUACACACAUUAACACACACACACGCCGACCAGUGUUGCGCUGCGGUGUGUUUUUGCCCACAGCAAAAGAAGGUAACUGAAAAAGUGUGACUCUAGGAAAGCCCAAAAAGCCUAGAGCGGAAACCGAAAGCAAGCAAGAAGAAAACAAACCAUUUUAUUCAUACUUUAUAGCAUUUGUGAAGCAGCAAGAGCCAAAAAACUCAAGGUUGUAUUCAGAAAAUGUAUUCUUGAUCACCUCUUCUAUGCAAUGGCCAUGUCCGUCAUCUUCAGCUACCGUUUCUUUCUUCUGGGCUUCUUCGUGUUUUCUCCUACUCUUUGUUAUUCGUAUGAAGCUCGAAAUCCUGAAGGUAAACAACAAAAGAUGAUAAAAAGUUUAUCUUUUUUUUUUCACUUGCAUUCCACUAAUUUUUUUUUUGUAUUAUUUCCUGGGAUUGUUAGUUGAAGCUUUGAUUAGCGUCAAGAAUGCUUUGAGCGACCCUCAUGGGGUUCUGAGCAACUGGGAUGAAGAUUCUGUAGACCCCUGUAGUUGGUCUAUGAUAACUUGUUCCUCUGAUAAUCUUGUUACUGGCAUGUGAGUUUUUAAAACUUUCUGGCUCUUUCAAUACUUUUCUAGCAAUGUUUCCGUUACGUUUGAUUAUAUUGAACAGUAAAGACUGCAUUUUUAUCAUUUUUUCUGCUCUGGGUUUAACAGAGGAGCCCCAAGUCAAGGUCUAUCUGGGACUUUAUCCGAGGUCAUUGCUAAUCUCACAAACCUUAAGCAAGUGUAAGAAAAUGGUGGAUUAGGAUGCUUCUGAUAUUGGGUUUUAGCAACUGAGUUGUGUUAAUGUCUAAUUUCUGUAUUUAAUGGUCAGAUUUCGCUCAUGCAGGUUGUUGCAGAAUAAUAACAUCUCAGGUCACAUUCCACUAGAAUUAGGCAAUCUUUCAAACCUUGAGACUUUGGAUCUCUCCAGUAACAAGUUGUCUGGUCCUUUGCCUGAUUCUUUGGGGUUCCUAACAAAACUCCAGUACCUGUAUGUUUUAAAUUUCUUUUCCAAUCUACCAUUUUUGCUUAAUUUUGUCAUUUUCUUAGUUGGCUAAUAUUGGAAAUGGCGCAUAUAUAUAUAUAUUAUUUAAUAAAGUUGUUUUGUCUUGUUUUGUGGGCUUGUCAUGUAACGAAAUGAGUAGAAGGUUGAACAACAAUAGCUUGUCUGGUGCUAUUCCUCCGUCUUUAGCCAAAGUCCCUCAACUUGCUUUCUUGUGAGUGUAGAUCUUUGUUCUGUUCUCUGCCUUCUUUUAAAUUGUUUUUCUUGUUUGUCUCAGUGUCUUUUAAAGAAGCAACAUAGAAUCUGUAAUUUUUGGGUUUUCCAAGAAAAUUUUCUUUUGGAAUCAAGCAUAGGAUUUGUUUCAAACCUUGAAUGAUAAUGCGUUCUCUCUCAUGAAGUCACUUUCACUUUCAGGGACUUGUCUUACAACAAUCUGAGUGGACCUGUUCCCAGAUUUCCAACCAAAGCAUUCAAGUAUGUCUUCUCUGCUGUGACUUUCUUCUGUUAAAUGCAAACAUGUACUCGUACCUCCUUUUAUAACACACAUGCUUUGUGCAUGAGUUAUGUCAAUUUAUUAUAAUUAUCUAGGGGAUAAUUACUUUUUAAUUUUCUUUCGUUCUCUUCUGGUCUAAUUUAACAAUUCCUCUUGAUCUAUGUGUAAUCAAUUAUAUAGCAUUGUGGGUAACCCCUUGAUAUGUGGAAGCCACUCAGGCAAGAGUUGUUCCGGACAUUUUAAUAUGAGUUCUCUUUCAUUCUCCAUGGAUUCAUCCCCUGGUAAUUUAUGAGACACAGUGUUUAUAAGUUGAUAUCAAUUUUGUUUCUUUCAAACAAUUUUCUUCUGACUGCCCCUGCAUCUUUAGGAAAAUCCAAUUCCAAAAGAUUAGCUGUUGCACUUGGUGUUAGUCUGAGCUUUGUCUCCAUUUUCCUCCUAGCAAUUGUAGUUUUGAUCUGGACUAGAAGCAAAAAGAAUAAACAGUCCAUUCUCAACAUUAAUGGUGAGUAAUUAUUAACUUGUAGCUUUCACAUGCAAAUUUAAAGAAAAACACUUAUUUGCGGUUGUGGUGAGCCUCAAGAACUUGAAUCUGUCUGUAGAUGUGCAAGAGGAGGAUCUAUUAAGACUGGGCAAUCUCAGAAGCUUUACAUUCAAGGAGCUUCAACUUGCAACAGACAAUUUCAGUUCCAAGAACAUACUUGGUGCUGGGGGAUUUGGCAAUGUAUAUAGGGGGAAGUUAGGGGAUGGUACAAUGAUUGCAGUAAAGCGUUUAAAGGAUGUGACAGGAACUGCAGGGGAGUCACAGUUUCGUACUGAGUUGGAGCUUAUUAGCUUAGCAGUUCACAGGAAUUUGCUAAGGCUAAUUGGUUAUUGUGCUAUCCCAAAUGAAAGGCUUUUGGUGUAUCCAUUCAUGUCUAAUGGCAGUGUAGCAUCAAGACUAAAAGGUACGUACAUCAACUCAUGAAAUGCAUCUGCGGCAAGUUCGUAGUUGCUAUUCUUUGUCAACUCUUUGGUUUUACUGUUUUAUACUUAGUUCAGUGCAUGAUCCAUACAACAUUCAUUUUUCAACUGCCUUGGACCACUGUAGUAUAUGGGUCCCAGGUGCUCCAGAAAAUGACGUGGUAUGAGAUAACGUAGGUUAGAAACGGGGACCAUGUUUAACUGCUCAUGAUAUCUUUUCAGUUUCAUUUAGAUUUGCUGCCUUCCACUAGUUGUUGUUAGGUGAUAUGAGCACAAACUUUCCUUUGCUGAGAUUUUUGUUUGUACGUGCUGAUUCAUUUGUAUGUGGGAUGGUCUACAAUGGUUGGCUUUUGCUUCUUUCAACCUUGAUGUAAAUAGUUUUUUAAGUUUGGAAAAUUGCCAGGAAAUCGUUAGAAUUCAGAGCUGAUGUUUGGAAUGGAGAACCUACAAAGUUUUUAGUUUCACCUAAGCUUUAGAUCAUUGUGCUGUGAAGAAAUGUUUAGGCAAGGGUACAAGCAGCAGACCAAGGCUUAAUACUUGGAUUGUUGAUUUAUGAAAUAUGAUGUAAUUUAGAGAAGAUCCUGAAAUUUCUUUUGGUGGCUGACCAACAUAAUAGGACUAAUUAUGAUGCUCAUUUCACCUUCUUCCUCUUUAUUUAGGAGGAAAGAAAGUAGAUAUUGCUUCAUUGAAGAAUGAUGCUUACUGCAAAUGGAGAUGACUGCACUUUUUUCCCCAAAUUUGUUUGUGUUAUCAGAUAAGUAGUUUUCAAUAAUAUGGCUAAUAGAUAAUUAAAUCCUGAGAGAAUACAUGCUUUUUCAAGCUUUGGUGGAAUAUGACCAGUAUAUCAAUUUUGCUAAAUGCAUUUAAUUCUAGCUAGCAGAGUUGUCUAUCAAUUGUGUUGAUAGUCUAAUUAUAGUUUGCUGUUAUAUUAAUCAUGGCAGGAAAACCUGCUUUAGACUGGAACACUAGAAAGAGAAUUGCAAUUGGAGCUGCAAGAGGUCUCCUAUACCUGCACGAGCAAUGUGAUCCAAAAAUAAUUCACCGUGAUGUAAAGGCUGCUAAUGUUCUCCUAGAUGACUACUGUGAGGCUGUUGUUGGUGACUUUGGCCUAGCUAAGCUCCUUGACCAUGCCGAUUCUCAUGUGACAACAGCUGUUCGUGGCACUGUAGGGCACAUUGCGCCUGAAUACCUCUCAACUGGUCAAUCAUCCGAGAAAACUGAUGUUUUUGGAUUUGGUAUUCUGCUGAUAGAGCUCAUAACUGGAAUGAAAGCCCUUGACUUAGGAAAAACUGUAAACCAGAAAGGAGCCAUGCUGGAAUGGGUUCGUCUCUUCCCUGAACCCUAUUUCUAAACUUCUAAACCUUUGUGUGCUAUUAAAUUGGUUUAGCUACUUUGGAACAUGAGAAGUCUUUCUUCACACUCAAAUCACUAGCCUGUGGUUCAUGAAAUUAAUGACCUGUUUUUCUUGGUCUUUAUUUGUAAUCUUUUACUCGGGGUACUCUUAUAUUCUGCCUUAAGAUUGUCAUGCAUGAAUUCAGAUGUUUAUCAGACACUCGCUGCUUUAUAAUAUUUUCUUUUUUGUUUAGCUGCUAGUUAGUUUACUGACGACUUAUUCUUUGUAAAGGUUUCUUUAAGAAAGUGGGAUCAAGUCAAUGAUUUCACUUCUUCGGAUCGUUGACUCUUUUUCUUUUAAUUGUCCUGCAUCUUUAAGAUCUAUGUUCGGGCAGGAAUUUUCUUUUCCAAUGCUCAUUUACUAAUGGCUAUCCUCUUCAAGGGACACUGAAAAAAUAUCACGAUACAUGAGCCGUUGCAAAUAAUGUUUUGUAGAUUAAUCAUGAAGCUCUGGGUGAACAAUUAGCUUUUAAAGUGCUAUGUGUACUGUCUGUGAAAUUGACCUGCGAACAGCCAGCCGAAUGGUGUUCAAGAACAACAUAUAUUUGCCUGGAAGGACUUGUGUUCCCAUGUCACAAGAAAACUAUGUGGCGGAGAUUUGCUUGGCACAUUGUUUAGUCUUGAUAGUUAUUCAAAGGGUAUGCUCGUACACAUCGUAUAUUUUUUCCCUUCAUCAUUGAAAAUUUGGCAUUUCAUUGCAGGUUAAGAAAAUACAGCAGGAAAAGAAAAUUGAAGUUUUGGUGGAUAGAGAAUUGGGUAUCAACUAUGACCGGAUUGAGGUGGGUGAGAUGCUCCAAGUUGCUCUACUUUGCACUCAAUACCUCCCCGCCCACCGGCCUAAGAUGUCGGAUGUGGUUCGAAUGCUUGAAGGAGAGGGCCUAGCAGAAAAAUGGGCAGCCUCCCAUAAUUAUCCAAAUCAAGGCACAAACCUUCCCCCCCUCAUUCAUGGUUCCCAAAUUAGGUUGCACCAUGCCACUGUGCCUGGACAUGAUGACAAUGUCUAUGACCAGUCAGCCAUGUUUGAGAUGAUAACAAUGGAUGAAGACUAUGAUGCUUAUGCCAUGGAGCUCUCUGGUCCGAGAUAACUAGAGGACCUAAAUAUGCAUAGAUAUGUGAAUUUUUGUUUUCUUAUUCUUUACUAUAAAGAAGGUUACCUAAGCAGUGGAACAACCUAAAUUAGCUCUUACCUAUUUUUAUUUGGUUCUACUUUCCUGCAUGUUUAGAAGGCUGUUUUGUGUUUUACCAUGUAUGUAUAUAUCGUUUCACAGUCAGAUACUGAAUGCUCCAAUGAGUAAAUAAUAUAAUUGAUCUUUCAUCCCUUGCAUGACCUCAUGGAUGCAAGCCAGUGAACUGAACCAUAUGGUUUGGAUGAAAAUGUGUACUCAUUUGUCAAGAGUAGGAGAAACAUGUAAAGCCCUUUUUUGAUCAUGUUCUGUACCUCUUUAAAUUUUCCCUGUAGGGGAAAUGGAAUGAGGUAUGGUGCAUGCAUAGUAACUCAUUCCUGGAGAUGCCCAUUUCCAGGACAGAAGAUCUCAUCGACCACAUCACAUGCUCUUGCCUUCAAAAUCAAACAUGACUGUUAGUGCUAGCAAGAAAAAGGAAAAGUUAAACAAGAAAAAGAAGGGGUUCUGAUUUUUUUUGACCAAAAGUAGGAGAAAUGCUGUGAUGCAAUUGCACUAUGCAGUGGUUGAACCGUCCUCGGCCGUCUGGUUGGGCCCUUGAGGAUGCUGCGUGCAACCACUUGGGGAGUCUUUCGAGUCUCUGUCUUAUGAUGCUUUUGCACUCAUGCGCUUCCUGCAGUUUUCCUUUCUGCUUUUGCUGCAUUGAUAAAUACCAAAAACGAAGCAAAAAGUCAGUGUUCAUAUUAUCGAUGUUACUACUACCAUUCUUCAUCAGUUGGUGUCCUAUCAUAAUAUAUAUAUAUAUAUAUAUAUAUAUAUAGAUGUGAUUUGAUGACCAAGUCUAGUUGAAUUUGUGUUCCAAUUAAAAUUCGAGCUUCAUGUGAAAUACAAAAAUUGAUUUCUAAUCUUUUUUAGCUCCACAACAAACCAAUACUUUCUCUAGAGUAUUGUUGGAAAUUUAGUGAAUUACACAAAUUAAGGAUAGUGAAAUUUUAAAAUUCUUAGGGCCACACACACAAUAUUAGGUGGAUUAGCCCGAUGUAAAGGUUUUUUUUUUUGGGAUGAUUUAAGUGCCUAAAAGUAAUCUGUUAAUUACCACGGCCUUACCUUAUGAUAUCGACAAGAGAUUAAUUUAUUACUCUACUCUCUUUGGACUUAAUUCAUUCUUCUUCAUUUUUUUUAAUUCUUUUUACCUUUUCCACCCUCAACUACCAGGUACAAGAUUUGAACCCUGCACUAGAAAAGCUUCAAAAGCCCUCUUCUGAUCACUAGACUCAAUUCAUUCUUCUCCAAACCUAAAGUACAAAGAUAUAUUUACAAGUCUCCUGUGAUUGCAUUGUUUGGGAGUUUCUUUUUCUUUUUUUUUUUUAACACAUCUUUAGCACUUUUGUGGAAUGUGAUAUACAUGAAGUGAAAAAGACAAGGAAAAUGUAUCAAAAAAUAUUCUCAAAAUACUCAAAAAAUUUUGUCCAAAACUAGCCAUCUAAACAUGGGAUUCUUCACCAGUUUUUAGAAUUCACACCAACUUAAUUCAUUCUUCUCAAAACCUAAAGCACUAAAGUCUAAAAUUUUCUCACUGUCACCAAUGUCUAAAACUCAAACUUGGCUCAAUUAAAAUCCAAGUUUAGAAGGAUAACAAAGAGGAGAGUUUGAGAAUGGAACCUGACUGAAGUCAUUCUUUUUUUUUUCAUGGGAGGCUAAAGUCGUUUUGAGGAUUUUUUUUUUUUUUAAUUCCAUUUUGAGAGGAUAAAAGAAUUGUUUCCUUAAGCAACUCCCUAUGAUUGCAUGGACUAAGCCCAAUAACAAAUUUGAAGUAAAACUGCUGAUUAUCAUCUUAAAAUGGGCCUAUUAGCUUCAGCUUUUUAAAACAUACAGCAUUUACCGGGCCCAAGGUAGAAUUACCGGUUGUAAAACCUAUAAAUUCUUGCGUUAUUCAAAAAUUUCUGAUAAAUCUUUCAGUGCCUUUGCUAAAACGCCCUUUUCUGUAGAUUUUCUUUUGUAAUUAUUCUGUCUUAUAUACAUAUUCAUGUAUGUACUUGUAUAAUCCCAUUAAAAUUCAGUUAAAUUAAAAAUUCAAUGGCAAACCAGCCAUCCCCCAGUGCAAUUCUAUGCGCUGCCUUCAAUCAAGAUAACAGGUAAUCAUCAAAAAAAUUAUUUGUCAGCUUAAUUCUGAUUAAGUUGGCAUUAUUCAUUAAAUUUCUUAUUUUUUUUUGGCAGCUGCUUUGCUAUUGGAACUAGGGAUGGGUUCAGAAUCUUUGAUUCCAAUACUGGCAGACUUCUUUAUGAGAGAGGUUAAAGUUUCUAUUUUUUCAAUCAACUUUUAUUGUGAAUAAUUUAUUUUCAAUUCAAUAAAAGUGUGCAAGCUUGAAUUUUUUUCCCUUUUUUGUCUAUAAUAAUAUUCUGUUCUGGGUUGAAGAUAUUGAUUGUCAGCUGAUCAGGUUUUGUAAUUUUUGGUGCUUUGUAGUUGAUGACUAAUGUAUGGCAUUUGAUUAGAUCACUGGUUUAAGAAGGCAAAUAAGAGUAGUGCAUGCUUAAGAUUUGAUUCUUUAACUGCAGCGAGUCAUUUUCUUCAAACUUUGAUCAUCCAAGGGUUUGAUUCUCGGUCCAAUUCUACAACGUCUACUUUCAUUAUUUGUUCUCGAAGUGGUUGAAUUAGAAGACUAUGGAAAAUUUGUGAAAACUGCGUGCCUGAACUGAUUAUUUUUAAAGAGGGUAUGGGGAAUUUGUAGUAAUUUUAUCCAAAAUUUACAACUAGAUGUACACAAAGAAGUAUACUUACAAAAGUCAAUUAUGCUGCCUUUAAAAGCAAACUACUUAGAAUUGCACUCUCUUAUAUUAAGAGUCUAAGCUUGACAUUUCUUUCAAAUUUUCUUGUAACAUAUUCUCCUGAUUCUUUAACCUGAUAGUCAAAUCAUGUUUCAUGAUAAAAAACCAAGCAACCCUAUUGAAGUAGAACCUAUACAUAACUGCACAUUGGUGUCUGGAAUACAUUGAUUCUAUGGCACAGAGAUAUUUCAUAAUCAAGCAUAAAUAUCUGUGGCAAGUCUUUACUGGGAUGAGUAGAGAUCUUUAAUAAACACUUGUGCAUGUAGAUUUUAUUUUAGUUUGUGUCAUAUCCGUGAUUAUGAAGAUCAUCAUGGAUGUGACAACAUGCCCAACUUAUUUUAUGUAUUUUGAGAUCUCUCAUCCUCUCUUUGCUAGCUAUUGGAGCUUUCAUUGUAGUUGAAAUGUUAUUCAGCACAAGCCUUCUUUCCAUUGUUGGGGCUGGUGAACAGGUUCUUGCAAUUACUAGAUAUAUUUUUUUUUCAUUUUUGUGGAGAAUAUUAAUACUAACAAUUUCUGGUUGUUGCUUUCUUAUGUUGCACCUAAUUUCAACAGCCAUCUUUAUCCCCACGGAGAUUAUGUUUGUUUAAUACCAAGACUGGAGCUGCUCUCCGAGAACUAAACUUUCUGACUUCAAUCCUUGCAGUUCGAAUGAAUAAGAAAAGGUAACAUAUGACACAGGUCAGCUCUAUUAAUUUGCAUCUGAUUUUGUGUUUUUCCUAUUUUGCAUGUCUCCACCUGCAUCUUCAAAAUGGCAUGGUUGCAUAUAGGCAUCUUGGCUGGACUUUUUUGCCCUGAAUUUGUGGUGAUAUUCUUCAAAAAGUUGAGGUUUUUAUUGCCACAAAUAGGAAUAAUGGUCUCCAACUUCAUGUGUUCUGUUGCAAGUAAGCAUCCUGAAGUUUUGUACUUUUUCCUUCACUGCUCCAUUCCAACUUCUACUUUAGCAUUCCAGUUAAAACUUGAAGGGGGAUUUUGCUGAGUCAGUGUAAAAUUGAUACCCUAUUUUCCUUUCCUAUAAUGGUUCUAGUGUAUUUCUGAAUUUUUCAUUGCCUUACCAAAUAAUUAGAGUCCAUGGAGACUGCAGUGGCCCGAGAAAUUGUGGAGUAAGGGUACAGCUGAUUGUGUUGUUUGUUUCACAUGCUUUAUAUCAGUAGACACCACUUUGUCUGAUGUGAAAGAAGACUCACUUCCCCAAUCUUUGAGAAACAAAGUCCUAAAGUCCUUUUGUCUUGUAGUUUUGGUGGUGUACCUUCAUAGUUAGGACAAUAAAACGUGUUAUUGUGGAUUGGCUAGGAAUGCACCACUGUUUCUUCUUAAUUCUCCAUUUGAAUUCCAAUUUCACUUAAAUUCCAUGCCAUUUAAUUCAUCCUCUGUUAGCUUGAUUACUGGCUAACUCUAUCCACUUUUGUUUGGAAGUGCAAUAGAUUCUGCAAACUGAAUUUGUUUCCUUUAUGACAGUUUAUGCUUGCUGCAACAUGUGCGUUAGUUUAUAAAUUUUUACUAUAAGAAGAUAUAAUAAAUAUAGAGAACCUUUUAGUUACUGGUAUUGUGUAGUUGGAUCUUGUUUUCUCUAGAUUAACUCUAUCUUGCUCCAUUCAUUUGGAUUCUUAAUCUGAAUGUCUGCGUGCUUUCCCUGAACUUAGAGCAGGAACAAUGUCCUGACUAUAUGACCUCCUGAACAUGCCCACACUUUGCAAACUAGACAAUCUAUUACCUGGGAGGGGUGCAUAUGGAUGACAUUGGGUGAAUUUCUUAGAGUAUAAUCAUUGCAAUUUAGGUAUUUUUGAAGCCACAUACUAUAUCUUUAGUCAACUUCAAAAAGGGCAAUACUGAGCAGUAGUAUACUAGAAGCUUCUGUCUCCAAAAAUCUAACUUGUUUGCUGAAUAUUCUUUUCUGACUCUGAAAAUGACUUUUUUGUAAUCUUUUGUUCAAUCAAGCUUUGUUAUGUUCAUUGAAAUGUUUGCUUGGAAAAUGCAGAUUAGUAGUCGUUUUGCUUGAGAAGACCUACAUAUAUGACAUAAACAGUCUCCAGAUAUUGGACACAAUAGAUACUGUACCAAACUUAAAAGGUUGGUUCAUAACAUCCAAUUUUCCGCUUGGGAAACAUCAACAUAAGCUUUUUUGUUGUGGCAUUCUCAAAUUGAUUAUAUGAUUUGUGAAAUCUUUUUGUCCAUCUUAAGUAUUUGCUUUGAUUAAUGAGUCCUGCAGCAUUUAAACUUUGUAUUUCACUUCUGACCUUUAAUUCUUUUGCUUUAGUAAUAGCCAUGUGAGUUUUUUUGUAAUGGAUAACAGAUAAUUAUUGCACCAUGAGGUUAUUUAGAUUAUGCUUCAAUUAGGUUCUUUGAGGAAUACCUAGCAGUUAAUAAAAGUGAACCAUAUUAGUCUGAAUGUUUUUAUUAUUGAUCUUAUCAUGUAGCAUGCUCUACUGAUUACACAAGUUUUUUUGAAGAUUCUUUUACUAUGCAGUUCAAUAUCCCUAGUACCUUUUAUAGUCACCAUAACAAGAAGUUUUGUUUGUGAAGUACUUCCUUUUUUGGCCAAAUGACAGGCAUAAAAGAGAAUAGCGAGAAUUCAGUCAAAUCCUUAGUUCAUGAGGGUGGUGGUGACACUGUCCAGUUUUCUCAACACAGUCACAACAUGAAAAUCAUGUCCUGUUAUCACCAAAGUUUAAUUAGUAAUAAGUUCAAAACUUUUUCAACCAGUAACUCUAGAAUCACACAAAGUGGACUAAGCAAUUUAUGGUGUUGUUAUCAUCAUUGGUUUCAGACGCUGUUCCUCUCUUCCAAGUGACUAAAGACGCAUCUGUUGCAAUACUUAAUAAGAAUAUAAGUGAAAAGGAUCAUUGGCACUACAAAGUAGGUUACUUAUUUUUCAUCUCUCGUUUCAGGACUUUGUGCAUUUUCCCCAAGUUUAGAUGGUUCCUUUUUGGCUUUUCCUGCUAGUAUAACGAAGGGAUCGGUUCUGGUCUACAAUGUAAUGGAACUGCAAUCCCACUGUGAGGUUGCAUCCCUUAUCCUCCUCCUUGUUGCUUGAUUUCCGGAUUUAUUAGCUGGAACUACUAAAUUGCUUUAUGAUCACGAUUUAUCAGUAUGGGAACUGUUAGUUUUCUUAUCUAAUAAAGAGCUUUGGCCUUUCCUUAUCAACGACUGACAACAGAUUAAUAUUUGUACUUCUAGAUGUCUUCAUAGCAUAGAUGAUCAAUCUAAACCAAAAUCUGACAUUCUUGGAAUUUUUGCUUGGUUGAUGGCUCCAUUCUUUUCGCUCUUCCAGCUGGGCAAUGAAUGUUAGAGAGCAACUAUUUACCUGUAUAUCAUCCAAGUACAAAACACAUGCUAAAAUUCCUUUGUAAUAGGUGAAUGUCAGUGGGUAAUGAUCUGCACUAGAUUAGUCUGAGAAGAAUAUUGAUCUUAAUAGUGAACCUACACUAAAAAUGUUUAUUUUUUGCUUGCCUUCUGUGACAUUAAUUCCAGUUGCACCAACAGCACAAUUAUUUUUUGCAGCUGGAGCAUUGAUAUCGUUACCAUUCUGAAGGAAUUAUAAGAUUUUUUUUUACCAGUAUUAUAGGUGAUUUUUAAAGACAGAUAAUGUCUAUUAGUUAGUUGCUUCAGCAAAGUUUGGCUAAAUGCAGAUAGAUGCUCAUCGCUCACCUCUGGCUGCCAUGGUCCUUUCUUCCAAUGGAAUGUACAUAGCUACUGCAUCAGAACAAGGGACCAUAAUCAGAGUUCAUCUUGUCUCCGAUGCAACUAAGGUGAAGUAUCAUAAAUUUAUUUAUACGGAUGUUGAACAGUAUCAUUUUGCCGGACUUGAAAGUCUGUCUGCAAACUGUCACUACUACAUCAGCGAAGGAACGAGAAGAGAGAGGAGGAAAGAGUGAAGAAAGAGAAGAGAGGCAUGAUGAGGAGGGAGAGAGUAAUCUUGGGUGACUGGUGAGACGAGUAUGUGAGAGAAAUUAUUACAGGAAGAAAAUUCUAAUGCGUCAUAUUCCAUUUUUCAGCCACGAACUAAAGCCAGAAUGCUGUAAUGUUUGAAUGGCAAUAAGAGACAAAGAACUUUAAAACCUAAAUUCUGAGAGUCAGCUAAUUUAUUCGUAUCUGAAGAUUUAGAACUCAUGUUUUGUUGCAUUUCUACCCUGUAAGGCAGAGAAGGGAUGGUUUGAGGGAGGUGACAGUUUCAUUUUUAUUUGACAUUAGUACUUCUGCAUUUCUAUCCAAUGAUUUAGAGCUUGAUUCAGUUAUUGAUUCCUCAUCAAUGAUAUUUUGUCUAAAUCUGGUUCCUGUUCGACCAAGGUGGACUGUAAUUAUAAAGACUUGAGCAAAAGAAAGAAAGAAAAGAAAAGAACAUUACCUCAUAGGUUACCCUGGAUUCGUUCUUACUUUCCUUGUGGUUGCUAAUUUUCUUUCUUGCAUAUGACCCAAUUGUCUUACGCUGAGCAGUCGUACAGUUUCAGAAGGGGGACAUAUCCAUCAAAUAUUUUUUCCUUGUCCUUUAGUCCAUCCACUGAACUGCCGGAUAUUCUUCUUGCCUCAAGCUCUUCUGGUUCUGUUCAUGUGUUUUCUCUGGGAUUUGCUCUGAAUCACAGGUGAGAAAUAUCUACAAGUUAUGCUGUACACUACAUACCUUGUCAUUCAUUACAUUGUUUUCUCACACCAUGAAUCCUGAAUGUGUAAGAAACCUGUUGACAAAUCUGCUUUAUGUGUGUUAAGUUCUGUUGUUCUUUUCCAUUUUUUCCUUCUUUAUCCCUUUGACAUGUUAUUGUUAGGAGAAUAUCAGUAUUCUUGUAGAUAAUAUUAGUAAGGGUAUUCUUGUAAAUGGUUAGUUAGAUUUGUACUCGAUAUGUUGAGUGAAGUUGGGAUAUUAGGUUGCCGACCUGUGGAUACUCCUAUGGAUCCCAAUGUGAAAUUAGUAGGAGAUCAAGGUGCAUUACUUGAUCCUUGGCAAUAUCGAAGACUUGGGGGUAAAUUAAAUUAUCUCACUGUAACGAGACCUGACAUUUCGUUUGCAGUGAGUGUUGUGAGUCAAUUUCUUGAUACCUCUCGUACUAGUCAUUGGGAUGCUAGUAUACGAAUUCUCAGGUAUCUUAAGAGUGCUCCUGGAAAAGGGUUGCUGUAUCAAAAUCAUAGACACACUGAUAUUGAAGGAUAUAGUGAUGCAGAUUGGGUUGGUUCUGCCUCAGAUCGAAGAUCGACCAUAGGAUAUUGUGUGUUUGUUGGUGGUAAUUUAGUAUCAUGGAAGAGUAAGAAGCAAACAGUUAUCUCCAGAUCAAGUGCAGAAUCUGAAUACCGCGCUAUGGCUCACACUGUGUGUGAGUUGGUUUGGUUGAAGAGCAUGUUACUUGAAAUUGAGUUUGAGCAUUAACAGCCUCUGAAUUUAGUGUGUGAUAAUCAGGCGGCUGUCCAUAUUGCGUCUAAUCCAGUGUUUCAUGAAAAGACAAAACAUAUUGAAGUUGAUUGUCACUUCAUUCGAGAGAAAUUGCUUGACGGGGUCAUCAAGACAUCUCAUGUACCGUCUGUAGAUCAAUUGGUUGAUUUGUUUACCAAGAGUUUAGGGGGCUCUAGGGUGAAAUACAUUUGUAACAAGUUGGGUGCUUAUGAUAUAUAUGUUCCAACUUGAGGGGGAGUGUUAGGAGAAUAUCAGUAUUCUUGUAGAUAAUAUUAGUAAGGGUAUUCUUGUAAAUGGUUGGUUAGGUUUGUACUCCUAUAAAUACUAGUUGGUCACUCAUAAUACAGUGAUUAGAUGUUUUCCUCCCAAGAUACCUGUUGACAGUUAUAUUUAAACUUACUGUUGACAACCAUAUACUUUGUUAGCAUGGCUAAAUGAUUGCUACCCCUUACUUGAAUUGUUCUUUCUCUUGCUGUUUCCAUCUUCCUCUGUCUACGCUACUUUUGGUUUAUCUUCCUCUGUUUGCAGUGAGUGUUGUGAGUCAAUUUCUUGAUACCUCUCGUACUAGUCAUUGGGAUGCUAUUAUACGAAUUCUCAGGUAUCUUAAGAGUGCUCCUGAAAAAGGGUUGCUGUAUCAAAAUCAUGGACACACUGAUAUUGAAGGAUAUAGUGAUGCAGAUUGGGUUGGUUCUGCCUCAGAUCGAAGAUCGACCAUAGGAUAUUGUGUGUUUGUUGGUGGUAAUUUAGUAUCAUGGAAGAGUAAGAAGCAAACAGUUAUCUCCAGAUCAAGUGCAGAAUCUGAAUACCGCGCUAUGGCUCACACUGUGUGUGAGUUGGUUUGGUUGAAGAGCAUGUUACUUGAAAUUGAGUUUGAGCAUUAACAGCCUCUGAAUUUAGUGUGUGAUAAUCAGGCGGCUGUCCAUAUUGCGUCUAAUCCAGUGUUUCAUGAAAGGACAAAACAUAUUGAAGUUGAUUGUCACUUCAUUCGAGAGAAAUUGCUUGACGGAGUCAUCAAGACAUCUCAUGUACCGUCUGUAGAUCAAUUGGUUGAUUUGUUUACCAAGAGUUUAGGGGGCUCUAGGGUGAAAUACAUUUGUAACAAGUUGGGUGCUUAUGAUAUAUAUGUUCCAACUUGAGAGGGAGUGUUAGGAGAAUAUCAGUAUUCUUGUAGAUAAUAUUAGUAAGGGUAUUCUUGUAAAUGGUUGGUUAGGUUUGUACUCCUAUAAAUACUAGUUGGUCACUCGUAAUACAGUGACUAGAUGUUUUCCUCCCAAGAUACCUGUUGACAGUUAUAUUUAAACUUACUGUUGACAACCAUAUACUUUGUUAGCAUGGCUAAAUGAUUGCUACCCCUUACUUGAAUUGUUCUUUCUCUUGCUGUUUCCAUCUUCCUCUGUCUACGCUACUUUUGGUUUAUCUUCCUCUGUUUGCAGUGAGUGUUGUGAGUCAAUUUCUUGAUACCUCUCGUACUAGUCAUUGGGAUGCUAUUAUACGAAUUCUCAGGUAUCUUAAGAGUGCUCCUGAAAAAGGGUUGCUGUAUCAAAAUCAUGGACACACUGAUAUUGAAGGAUAUAGUGAUGCAGAUUGGGUUGGUUCUGCCUCAGAUCGAAGAUCGACCAUAGGAUAUUGUGUGUUUGUUGGUGGUAAUUUAGUAUCAUGGAAGAGUAAGAAGCAAACAGUUAUCUCCAGAUCAAGUGCAGAAUCUGAAUACCGCGCUAUGGCUCACACUGUGUGUGAGUUGGUUUGGUUGAAGAGCAUGUUACUUGAAAUUGAGUUUGAGCAUUAACAGCCUCUGAAUUUAGUGUGUGAUAAUCAGGCGGCUGUCCAUAUUGCGUCUAAUCCAGUGUUUCAUGAAAAGACAAAACAUAUUGAAGUUGAUUGUCACUUCAUUCGAGAGAAAUUGCUUGACGGGGUCAUCAAGACAUCUCAUGUACCGUCUGUAGAUCAAUUGGUUGAUUUGUUUACCAAGAGUUUAGGGGGCUCUAGGGUGAAAUACAUUUGUAACAAGUUGGGUGCUUAUGAUAUAUAUGUUCCAACUUGAGGGGGAGUGUUAGGAGAAUAUCAGUAUUCUUGUAGAUAAUAUUAGUAAGGGUAUUCUUGUAAAUGGUUGGUUAGGUUUGUACUCCUAUAAAUACUAGUUGGUCACUCAUAAUACAGUGAUUAGAUGUUUUCCUCCCAAGAUACCUGUUGACAGUUAUAUUUAAACUUACUGUUGACAACCAUAUACUUUGUUAGCAUGGCUAAAUGAUUGCUACCCCUUACUUGAAUUGUUCUUUCUCUUGCUGUUUCCAUCUUCCUCUGUCUACGCUACUUUUGGUUUAUCUUCCUCUGUUUGCAGUGAGUGUUGUGAGUCAAUUUCUUGAUACCUCUCGUACUAGUCAUUGGGAUGCUAUUAUACGAAUUCUCAGGUAUCUUAAGAGUGCUCCUGGAAAAGGGUUGCUGUAUCAAAAUCAUGGACACACUGAUAUUGAAGGAUAUAGUGAUGCAGAUUGGGUUGGUUCUGCCUCAGAUCGAAGAUCGACCAUAGGAUAUUGUGUGUUUGUUGGUGGUAAUUUAGUAUCAUGGAAGAGUAAGAAGCAAACAGUUGUCUCCAGAUCAAGUGCAGAAUCUGAAUACCGCGCUAUGGCUCACACUGUGUGUGAGUUGGUUUGGUUGAAGAGCAUGUUACUUGAAAUUGAGUUUGAGCAUUAACAGCCUCUGAAUUUAGUGUGUGAUAAUCAGGCGGCUGUCCAUAUUGCGUCUAAUCCAGUGUUUCAUGAAAGGACAAAACAUAUUGAAGUUGAUUGUCACUUCAUUCGAGAGAAAUUGCUUGACGGAGUCAUCAAGACAUCUCAUGUACCGUCUGUAGAUCAAUUGGUUGAUUUGUUUACCAAGAGUUUAGGGGGCUCUAGGGUGAAAUACAUUUGUAACAAGUUGGGUGCUUAUGAUAUAUAUGUUCCAACUUGAGAGGGAGUGUUAGGAGAAUAUCAGUAUUCUUGUAGAUAAUAUUAGUAAGGGUAUUCUUGUAAAUGGUUGGUUAGGUUUGUACUCCUAUAAAUACUAGUUGGUCACUCGUAAUACAGUGACUAGAUGUUUUCCUCCCAAGAUACCUGUUGACAGUUAUAUUUAAACUUACUGUUGACAACCAUAUACUUUGUUAGCAUGGCUAAAUGAUUGCUACCCCUUACUUGAAUUGUUCUUUCUCUUGCUGUUUCCAUCUUCCUCUGUCUACGCUACUUUUGGUUUAUCUGGCCUCUUGAGUUUCCUUGCAGUUCAAGAGCUAUAUAUGUUGUGCGUCUUUGAAUAAUAUGUCAGCCUUGUAUUGUUAUCUUUAGUCAGAUGUAGCUGGUAGUUGAAACUGUCAAAUAACCUGAUCUAUUUUGUAUUUCCUUUUGUACAGAAGCAGGAGAUCAAAUACUUUUCUUGGGUCCAUAGUACCUGAUUCUGUAACUGAUGUACUGGAUUCUGCUUAUCACCAUGUACUUCAUCAUGCUGUCCCAGCUGGAGUUAAAAGGUCUAGUAGAUAUUAAUUUGUAUAUCAACCAUCUUACUAUAGUUUCUUCAUCAUUUAGCAAUAUUCUAUGGCUGUGGUUAGACUAGGUUUUCUGGUAGCAGACUAUUUUGACAACAUUUUGAUUAGACUCAAGUCACCCACUUCAUAGAUUGUAGUAGCACUGUUAGAUUAUAUAACUUUUCUUUUAAUACCUAAAAGGAUGAUAAUUUAGUUUCUGCAGUUCCAAUUUCUAUAACUUUCCAGAGCUCAAAGAUGGUAAUAGAAGAUUAUUUCAACCUUUUUGUGACUCUAACUUGUGAUUGGAUGCGAAUGUUAGUGUCUAGUCAGGUUUGAAAAUGUAUGUUGAAUGGCUGAGACAUAGGAAAAUUUUGUGUUGGCAUUAGUCUAGGAAAGAGUAAAUUGAAGGCAAAAUGCAUGGAACAUCUUUCUUACAACCUUAGUUUUUGAAAAUUUACAAGACAACACAUUUUACAGUGUGAUCCAUUGAUUUGAUAAAGCUUGUCUGUUCAUAUUUGACUGGAAUAUGUUCAUCUAUUAUUAGUUUGACUAGUCUAAAUUCUAAAAUCUGCCGGUGGUAUUUUAUAUGGUUAUUUUGAAGUAAUGUUCUACUUUUGGGAAGCUCUUAAAUUCUCUCCUUUUAUCCUUAGAUCUAUGUUGGAGUGUCAAAUCAUACAGUACCAAGGUCCAAAAUGAGACUUCAUUCUGACAAGUGACUCUAUUUUUUCUCAGUUCAGAUACAUGAAAAAGGUUUUUCAGGAACCUAAUUAUAUCACGAAUACUUUUGCUGCUUUAUCUUAAUGUGGUUUUUUUUUUUUUUGAAACAUUGGAAUUUUAAAAUCAAGGCACAUAUAUUGCAUAAAAUUCCAAGUGUUGGAAUUGUGAUGAUGUGUAAGAGGUGAGUUUCCAUCAAUACUAUCCCAACAGCCUAAAUUUUCAAAUUAAUUAAAGGAAACUGCAGAACUAAGUAGUUGAAUUCGAUGUUCUUAAUCUUGCAAUUAAUCAGUCUAUUAUCUUUAAGAGGUUAAAUUCUUUAGCAUUCUGCUCGAGUGCAUUUUCAUGUGCAAUUGGGUGUUUUGUUGCAGUAAUGCAGUGGUUCGUAAGAUAGAAAGGGUUCCUGACACAUCAAUGGCUGAAUGUGCUGUUUUACGGUAAGUUCAGUUUAUCCUAUGUUCCAUUUUUCCACUUUAGGACAUUCAGUUUCGGUUAUAUUCAUCUGAGCUUGUAUACAUGUCAUUCCUCAUUAGCCAGUGUAACAUAAGUUAUCAUCCAAGAAAGUAAGUAGGUUGUAAAUGUGGGCAUAGGCCUCACAACAUUGCGAGAAAAGAGCAAGUAUAAACUCGGACUUUCUCAGUCUUGGGUGGAUAGUUCGAACUUCUAAGCUAGAAGGGACUGUGGCAUGUGAAUAAUUUGCCAAUCUUUCAAUCAUUGGAGGAUGCUUAAUGUUUAGCCUUCUCGUGGGAACGGCUUCACUUUCCUGUUGUUUGAAAUUUAUUUGCUCCUGUUGUCUGAAAUCUUCUUUGGUGGUUUGUUAUAUAACAAUGUUUUGGAUUCUGUAGAGCCACGAUAUCAGUGUUAACUAAUGGUGGGUACUUCCUGGAGUAUGGCUCGACAAUCAACCGUCAAAAUGAGUCUUCAUGGACGCUGGAAAGGGAAUAUAAUCUUUUAACGGUCCAAGGAGAACAAGCCGCCAGUUCAAAUGUUGGCAAUUGAUGUGCACUUUACUCAUCCGCAGGCUUUGCUUUAAAGGGACAGCUUGAAACUGGAGCUUGUGGUUCCUCGCUGACACUUUGGCUUUUAACUCAAAGUAGAAUACAAGGGUACACUGGCUAAUGAGUUAAGAUACCUGUUGCCAACCUUUAGGAACAUCUAGAUGGUUAAGAUACCUGUUGCCAACCUUUAUGACCAGGGUAUAUGUUUGACAUCAUAUGGUCUUUGAUCGCUCUCACUUGACCUCCAUAAACUAUAGCAUUUUCCUUCCUACUUGUAGUUGUAGGUAGCAAGUUUGUAUGUGUGAAACUCCGCGUGCCAUUUUAUAUCCUCACACUGAUGAAGAUAUAAUUCUUCUUUGUAUUGUGUAAAACACAAUUUUUAUGAUGUAAUAUAUAUAUAUAUACCUUGUGUAUUUCUGCAUUUGAUUUUCUUCCCUGGGUAAGGAUAUAAAUAAUCUUAUUAUGACUUGGUUAAUGAGUUUCCAUCUGGCACUCUAUGUUUAUAUAUAUUAUAUAUGUGAAAGUUGUAAUUAAUUUUAAAAAGUAUCUAAAUGCAGAAAAUGCAAUAAUUUAAAUAUGAUAAGUUAAAUAUAAUUUAAGUAUAAUAACAAGUGUUCACUUGGCCUGUGUUUACUUUUAUCUACCUUCGUUUCAAUUCUCCGGCUCAGUAUAUUGCAGGAUAGAUCUGCCAGUGAAUAUCUUUUUUGCCUCUUUUAUGUUUUAAGCCUGUUUCAGUAUACAAGUGGUGCAUUUGUUCACUAGUAAAUAAAGGCAUAAAUUCGAUAGGCACUUGCGAAAACCAGCUCCUUUGUGUUGCGUGGAGUUGCAUGCCCAGAAAUUGCACGAGUAACAUGGAUGAAACUUGCAGUGAGUCCAUCAAACGCAGUUCUCUCUGCCUAAAAGUUAAUUCAAAAAAACAAAAAAUGCAGCUCUCUCUGCAUAUUAAUAUUAAUGUGUGCGUUGUUUUUUCAUACUCUUUUAUGACUCUGCAAAAUCUUUGCUGUGAUAGAACAGCUGAUUGAAGAAAAGGCAAACCAGUAUUGUAAUAUCACUCUUUUCUUUUCUUUUUUUUUUCUCGGGUGGGAGUCCGCACAGUAUUUUAAACACUUUGAUGGUUCUCAAUUAUGCAAAAACUAAGCACCAUAGUCAUCAAAGCAAACAUAUGUUAGAUGUUUAAACUUCCAGAUUACACCAAAAAGCAGUUUUUUUCCUUCUUGCCCUUCACCAAGUUUCAAUUCAUCCACAAUUGUUCCUCAAUAUUACCUUCAAUAACUUGCAACAUACAAUUUCAUGCCAACUUCCAGUCCAUUGAAACGUUCUCCUCUUUUUCAGUUAUACAGAGAGUCGUGUCGUCGCUGGACUCGUAAUUUUGCACUUUUUGGGGCAGCAAGAGUAGGCUACCUCUUACUUUCACUUUCUUAGAUUUCAUGUUUUCUGUUGGAUGAGAAUUUCACAAUGUCUAAAAGCUUUGGACAUCGACGAAACGAACUACCAAUUAGCUCAGCAAGUACUGAACCAAAGACUUGUUGAUUUGCGCCAAUUAGGCGAUUUUUUAGAAAAGUAUCUUAAAUCUCUUAUUUAUAAUUUCUGCAGUAAUAGGACCGAGAAAUGGGGUUUAAUUUUUUUUCAAACCCUCUGAUCAGCCUUCUAUCUUUUUACAGCAAAAGCACCAAAAGACUGUCGAACCAUCCUUCCAAGAUACAAAACAUUCCCAUCUCUUAAACAGAAAACGUUGAUCCGUGAGAUCUCAGCAUGCCAAGAGAUGGAGAUUUUGGUUUAUAAGUCUUGAAACAUAAACUUCGGUUAAUAGCCACACAUCCCAUCUCAGUCUAGAUUAUCGUGCCCUAGUUUUGACAAAUUUUCCUCUUGAAGCCCUUUUCUCCAUCUUCUCUCUU
rnacentral:lncRNA from 1 species